AAGAUCAUGUCAAAUGGGUGAGAUCGAAAGCGGGAAAACAUAAACUUUUGCACAGAAUUCUCGUAGUUUUCAUUACACAAUCAAAUCCUCGUAAUUUACACCAUGGUAGUACAACUUGAACCGCACAACGGCACACUUCACUACAAGCGCGUGUACGCGCAUAUACACACCUUACUUGCCAGGAACAAAGUUGGUGGCGAAUGCCCAUGCGUUGUUGUUGACGGGGUCGGCGAGGUGGUCAGCGAGGUUCUCAAGUGGACCCUUGCCGGUGACGAUGGCUUGCACAAAGAAGCCGAACAUUGAGAACAUGGCAAGGCGACCGUUCUUGAUCUCCUUAACCUUGAGCUCGGCGAAUGCCUCAGGGUCGUCGGCAAGGCCGAGCGGGUCAAAGCUGCCGCCCGGGUAGAGUGGGUCGACGAUUUCACCGAGCGGUCCACCGGCAAUGCGGUAGCCCUCGACGGCGCCCAUGAGCACAACCUGACAAGCCCAGAUGGCAAGGAUACUUUGUGCGUGCACAAGGCUUGGGUUGCCGAGGUAGUCGAGGCCGCCCUCGCUAAAGAUCUGGGAUCCAGCCUUGAACCAAACAGCCUCACCAAACUUAACGCCAUUGCGGGCGAGUAGCUCGGGGAAGACGCAACCGAGCGCGCCAAGCAUGGCCCAACGGCAGUGGAUCACCUCGAGUUCCCGGUUCUUAGCGAAGGUCUCGGGGUCAGCCGACAACCCAGCGGUGUCCCACCCGUAGUCGCCGGGGAACUCACCGGUCAGGUAGCUCGGGGGCUCACCAGAAAGUGGGCCGAGGUAGAGCACGCGGUCAGAACCGUACCACGGGCUGCCGGAGGCAACCUGCUUGGCCUUUGCCGCCGUCUUGCGCAUGGUAACGCGAGCCUCCCCGAAAACAGAUGACGAUGGCAGGUUCUUCACUGCCUUGCCGGCGAAGGCUGGGGAAGAGAGUGACAUGGUGGUUGCAGCCAUUCUGAUCGAAGGAGGUUCUGUGUGUUCUCCAAGAACGAGGAGUGGGUGUGGAGAUGGCUUAAGAGGAUCGGGGCAAGGGGCUUCUUAAGGCAGUGGACGGGCAGAGGAAAUUGAACUGGUGUAAGCUGACAGGAGAGAGGUGUAUAGCAAGAAAUCUGUAUGUUGGAUGUCAUUGGUGCAGAGUGAGAGCCACAAGGAGAUCAGAUAUACUUUUGGAUCUUGCGGAUAUGGCUUAGCUGGGAAUCUCCUUAGAGAGCAGUGAUUGGAUGACACGCUGGUAUGCACGUGAGCAUGCCAUGUAUUUUCCCCCAAAAGGACAAUAUUGGAUAUCCAUUCUUGCAACCAAGGAAUAUCACCGCAAUUGUUGAGCAAAUUUCUAUUUGACUGACUGUACAUUUUAUUGACAUCGUUAUCUGAAAUAGAAACGGAGACAUGCUCAUGCAUGUGCGUCCAUGCUACUGCUAGCAGCAUCGAGCAGAGCAUACGGCAAAUACGAGCUAGCAGCGGGAAGAAACAUACCAUGAUCGUCGCACAUAUUUUUAUUUUUUUAGAAAAGGAGGCUAAACCCCCGGCCUCUGCACAUGACCAUACCUAUUGCAAAGAUGGACUGAUAAAAUGGUACUCCAUCCAUUUCAUAUUAGUUGUCGCUCAAACAGAUGUAUAUAGCACUGAAAUACGUCUAAAUACAUAAAGCGAAAGGCAUAUGUUUCAAACUUUCUUCCCUAUUAGUUUUAUUACCAUAGUCAUAAUGUGCAUAAUAUGUUACCAAUGGAAAUUUUUCUUUUUGAUACCAUGAAAACUCAUUUUCAUAAGACAUAAAGUUCUUAAUAAUAUGAUUUUAAAAUUAGAUUAUUCUAAUCUUAAAUAUAAUUAUCCAUACUAAAAAUAUUGUCCACACACUUGCGCAGGCCACACAAUUGAUCUCUCUUUUCUCUGAAAGAGUUGAGGUCUCUCUGGACUUCUUUUUCCUCGCUCCCAGAUUCAGAAACAAAGCAGACCAGCACGAUAGUAGUUGACUGAUUGUCCAGGUGUCUGGUGAUGAAUUUAUUAUACGGCUCGAAUAGUUGGGUUUCUUUCUUCGAAAGAGAAAGGCAAUGCCUCCGGGCUCGGCUCAGAUAACUGCCGUUUGUUGUCUUCUGGACCGUUGGUACUUUGUUCAUCCUCCAAGAUCAAAGAUUAUUGCUCCCUUAACUGUUUAUACAUUCAGCUAUCAGAUAGUACAUGCUCUUUAAAAUGUUGUCCUACAAAAUCGAUGAAGUUAUCUGUUUCUGAAGGUUCGGAUUCAGACCCUUUGCUAGUUUUCCACAUUGCUAGAUCAAUAUAGAUGUGUUGAGUUUUUCCAAACUAUAAGAAAAAAUUGCAGAGAGAUCUCAAAUAAGCCGAUGCACUCCGGUGAAGCAUGCAUAACUCAAAUUUCUAUCUUGCUUUUAGGCCAGUAACCACUCAUCAUUUUUGUUGCCUGGUAUUUCGACUGAAAGCCUGAACAACGCCUCAACCAUGUACCACUGUCUUCUCGAUGCAGCCCGGCAAAUUUGCCAAUGUAUAUGAUACAUAAGUUGCCGCGCCCAAAGCACAACACGGUACAGGUGUUGCACAAAUGUGAACCCGACGCAUUCGUUAAGAUGAUCAUGUCAAAUGGGUGAGAUUGAAAGUGGGAAAACAUAAGUUGCCGUCGCCCCCAACACGGUACAGGUGUUACACAAAUGCUAACCCGACGUAUUCGUUGAGAUGAUCGUGUCAAAUGGGUGAAAUCGAAUGUGGGAAAACAUAAGUAGCCGACACCCAAAGCACCGCGAACCCGACGUAUUCGUUCAGAUGAUCAUGUCAAAUGGGUGAGAUCGAAAGUGGAAAAACAUAAGUUGCCGUCGCCCAAAGCACAACACAGUAGAGGUGUUACACAAAUGCAANNNNNNNNNNNNNNNNNNNNNNNNNNNNNNNNNNNNNNNNNNNNNNNNNNNNNNNNNNNNNNNNNNNNNNNNNNNNNNNNNNNNNNNNNNNNNNNNNNNNNNNNNNNNNNNNNNNNNNNNNNNNNNNNNNNNNNNNNNNNNNNNNNNNNNNNNNNNNNNNNNNNNNNNNNNNNNNNNNNNNNNNNNNNNNNNNNNNNNNNNNNNNNNNNNNNNNNNNNNNNNNNNNNNNNNNNNNNNNNNNNNNNNNNNNNNNNNNNNNNNNNNNNNNNNNNNNNNNNNNNNNNNNNNNNNNNNNNNNNNNNNNNNNNNNNNNNNNNNNNNNNNNNNNNNNNNNNNNNNNNNNNNNNNNNNNNNNUGGGAAAACAUAAGUUGCUGUCGCCCAUAGCACAACACAGUAGAGGUGUUACACAAAUGCAAACCCGACGUAUUCGUUCAGAUGAUCAUGUCAAAUGGGCGAGAUCGAAAGUGGGGAAACAUAAGUUGUUGUCGCCCAAAGCACAACACAGCAGAGGUGUUACACAAAUGCAAACCCGACGUAUUCGUUCAGAUGAUCAUGUCAAAUGGGUGAGAUCGAAAGUGGGAAAACAUAAGAUUUUGCGCAGGAACCUCGUAAAUUUUCCAUAUAAUUAAAUCCUCGUAAUUUACAUCAUGGUAGUACAACUCAGACAGCCAACAACAGACUUCACCGCAAGCAUGCACGCACACACACCUUACUUGCCGGGAACGAAGUUGGUGGCGAAUGCCCAGGCGUUGUUGUUGACGGGGUCAGUGAGGUGGUCAGCGAGGUUUUCGAGUGGACCCUUACCGGUGAUGAUGGCUUGCACAAAGAAACCAAACAUGGAGAACAUGGCGAGGCGGCCGUUCUUGAUCUCCUUAACCUUGAGCUCGGCGAAUGCCUCAGGGUCGUCGGCAAGGCCGAGUGGGUCGAAGCUACCGCCCGAGUAGAGCGGGUCAACGAUCUCACCAAGUGGUCCACCGGCAAUGCGGUAGCCCUCGACGGCGCCCAUGAGCACGACCUGACAAGCCCAGAUGGCAAGGAUACUCUGGGCGUGCACAAGGCUUGGGUUGCCGAGGUAGUCGAGGCCGCCCUCGCUGAAGAUCUGGGAUCCGGCCUUGAACCAAACAGCCUCGCCGAACUUCACACCGUUGCGGGCGAGCAGCUCGGGGAAGACGCACCCGAGCGCGCCAAGCAUGGCCCAACGACAAUGGAUCACCUCCAGCUCACGGUUCUUGGCAAAGGUCUCAGGGUCGGCCGACAGCCCAGCGGUGUCCCAGCCGUAGUCGCCAGGGAACUCACCAUUGAGGUAGCUCGGGGGCUCGCCAGAAAGUGGGCCGAGGUAGAGCACGCGGUCAGAGCCAUACCACGGGCUGCCGGAGACAACCUGCUUGGCCUUUGCCGCCGUCUUGCGCAUGGUGACGCGGGCGUCCCCGAAAAGAGACGAUGAUGGCAAGUUCUUGACUGCCUUGCCGGCAAAGGCUGGAGAAGAGAGUGACAUGGUGGUUGCGGCCAUUCUGAUCGAUGGAGGUCCUCGGUAUUCUGUUCUCCAAGAAUGAGGAGUGGGUGUGGAGAUGUCUUGAGAGGAUCGGAGCCCGGGGCUUCUUAAGGCAGUGGCUUCUGUAUGUGUCAAGAGAGAGGUGCGGGACAGGAAAUCUGUAUCUUGGAUGCCAUUGGUGCGGAGAGACUUCGAGAGCCACACGGAGAUUAGAUAUACUUGUGGCUAUGGCUAAGCUGGGAAUCUCCUUGGAGAACGGUGAUUGGAUUACAUGCUGGCAUGCACGUGGGCAUGCCAUGCCUUUCCCCCCAAAAGGAAAAUAUAGGGUAUCCAUUAUUGCAGCGAAUGAACUUGCCACCACAACCGUUGAACAAACACAUAAUGCAUGGAUGCAAUUCCUAAUUGACUGCUGUGCAUAAAAACAGAGAUGCUCAUGCAUGUGCCUCGAUGCUAUACGAAAUUUCUUCAAAAAUAGAUGAUGUAUAAUGCGUAUCAUAACAAUUCCCUAACUCUAACAAUCAGUAUACAGUCAAAUAACUGAAAUAAAAAUAGCAGUUCUAAAUUGUGAUGAAAAGUUAACCCUUUUUAAUUAUCUCAUUAAUAUAUCUAUCACUAAAUUCUGUUACAUUCUAUGAGCACAAUACAAAGGAGAAACAAAGAGUUAUGUUAUAAAUUCUCAUAAAAAUAUAUCUAGCCAUUGAUUAGAUGAGCCAUGAUAGUUAAGUAUAGCUUUUAAUGGAUUGGAUUAAAGUAAUUUCUUCCUGCCUAAGGCGUUAGUUUUUAAUAAAAUUUAUAGAAAUUUUCAUUCUUAUAUACACUUGGGGAAAUAUAUGACCCUCGCAAAUGCAUGUCUAAUACGCAUGCGGGUUGUGCGAUAUAUAUUUUACAUCUCACAUAGGCUAGACCGAAUCUAAGUUAUCUUUUGAUCAACUGUCCACCUAGGAUAUCCUUUGCUUAGAACCUCUCUUAGCAUUGUUUCUUUUCAUGGAAAACAACCACUGUAUAUUCACUUCUUCGAGGAUCAAGAUUUUUUCCCCACUAAAAAUAAUGAAAAAUACAAAUUAGGAAGUAAUAUAAAAUAUAAGAGUUGAUUUUUUAUCUUCAAAUUUCAUUUAUGGAGUGGUUGAGUGGCGUUACAAACAUGGCAUCAAUUGGAUGAUUAAAUAGGUUCCAACAUUUUAGUAUACUAAAAUGCAUCUACUAUAAAAUAAGUCGAUUAACAUCACGCUACCUAUGUGAACGAACUACCACCUUGGAACAAUCUUGAAGGUCGGAUUCUUCCAUUGCUUUUCAUUUUGCACCACAGUUAGCACAUUGAUAAUGCACUUUACACUAGGGGACACUGCUCGAGAGUGUGGUGAAAUACUUUGGUGAUCUUCCUGCUCUUGUCUUUUCCCAUCCAAUUGGCGAGAGACACAAUCCAACGCAAUCAAGUAGUACAACGAAUUUCCAGUCCAAUCGAAUGCAUGAAUGAUCUAGUCAAGAACUAAAAAUAAGCCAAUAAGUAGCUAACCACACAUCUCAGCGGCUAGCAGAAGCACACCGAAGGGGGUCGAGAAGGAGGCCACAGUCCGAUUGAGCUUCGCGGCGGAGUUGGUGCUCUCUAUCCAUCUCAACAGGCCACACGCGGGAGGUGGGGCCGUGCUUGCCUAUGGCCUCGGAGCAAGCCACCGCUUGGGACACACAUCCCAACUUGAUUGAUUCUAGACUUUCAAUCAGCAUGAAAUUCCGAUCAUGUAGUCACCGUGGUUCAGGAAUCGUUGAUACGAGGACAGGAUCCGACCGCUCUGAUAUGUGUAAAGUGUAUCUACAGUUUUUGCAUGUUCCAUACCAUAUCUCCAUCAUUUAUGCAAAUAUUUUGAAGAUUAUUUAGACUAACAUAUUAAUAAAAUUUCUAGUGUUAGUUCUUAUUUUAGUGUUCAUGUUUGCAAGUAAAUUAGGUAUUUUAAGCCUUCAGAAAAACCCAAGAAAAAAAUAAGAUGAUGAUGUGUAUGCACCAAGGAGCAUCGAGGUGGCUGGGAGUUGGGCUCGAAGGGCACGUAGGCGCCACUGCAGGCGCCUAGAGAGGGCUAGGAGAUGUAGGAACCUUCUGGAGCCCUUCUUUGGCAGCUAACUUUCCCCUGAAGUAUUUUAAUGGCCCUAAAAAUAUAUAUUUUUUGUAGUUAUGAAUAAUAACUAGUCAUGAUCACUAUUAGGGAAAAGCCUAUACACAGAAUCUUACCAGCAUCGUGCUUCAAAAUAAAACGCUGCUGCUAACUAGCAGUAGCGCGCGCGCACAAAACUCGCUGCUGAAAUAAAUGUAUCAGUAGCGCGCCCUCUCUAAGACGCGCUACUGCUAUAAUUGCCACGAUGCCGCCGCGAGGCUAGUUCUAGCAGCAGCGUGUUAAUAUGAAGAGCGCUACUGCUAUGGACCAUAACAGUAGCGCAUUUACACAAUAACCGCUACUGCUAAGUGUAGGAUCGAAAGUAUGUCUAGAAGGGGGGUGAUUAGACAACUUGACCAAAUAAAAAUCUAGCCUUUUUCCAAUUUUAAUUCUUGGCAAAUUUUAACAACUUAGCACAAGUCAAGCAAUCAAUCUACAUAUGCAAUUCUAAGAGUAUUGUAGCGGAAUGUAAAACAAAUGCAUAUGAAGGUAAAGGGAGGAGUUUGAGGGAGCAAACGCAAUGUUGACAUGGAGAUUUUUUAUCCGUGGUUCCGAUAGGUGGUGCUAUCGUACAUCCACGUUGAUGGAGACUUCAACCCACGAAGGGUAACGGUUGCGCGAGUCCACGGAGGGCUCCACCCACGAAGGUGUUGGGGAACGUAGCAAUAAUUCAAAAUUUUCCUACGUGUCACCAAGAUCAAUCUAGGAGAUGCUAGCAACGAGAGAGAGGGAGUGCAUCUUCAUACCCUUGAAGAUCGUAAGCGGAAGCGUUACAAGGACGCGGUUGAUGGAGUCGUACUCGCGGCGAUUCAAAUCGCGGAAGAUCCGAUCUAGCGCCGAACGGACGGCGCCUCCGCGUUCAACACACGUACAACCCGGGGACGUCUCCUCCUUCUUGAUCCAGCAAGGGGAGAGGAGAAGUUGAGGGAGAACUCCAGCAGCACGACGGCGUGGUGGCGAUGGAGCUUGUGGUUCUCCGGCAGAGCUUCGCUAAGCACUACGGAGGAGGAGGAGGAGUUGGAGGAGGAGAGGGCUGCGCCAGGCAAGGGGUGCGGCUGCCCUCUCUCUCCCUCACUAUAUAUAGGGGGAAGGGGGUGGAGGAGGCGCCCUAUGGUUCCCUAGGGGAGGGGCGGCGGCCACAGGGGAAACCUAGAUGGGUUUGGGCGCCCCCACCCCUGGGAAACUUGCCCCCCAAGCCGGGAGGGGUGGCUGCCCUAGGGGAGGCGCCCCCACCUCUCCACGUUACGUGAGAGGGGUUGGGAGGGGCGCACAUCCCCUUAGUGGGCUGGUGUACCCCCUCCCCUUGGCCCAUAAGGCCCCCCAACGCUUGCCGGGGCCUCCGAAACACCUUUCGGUCACGCUGGUCGUCACCCAGUACUCCCAGAACAAUUCCGGACUCAAAUACCCUUCGUCCAAUAUAUCGAUCUUCACCUCCGGACCACUCCGGAGUUCCUCGUCACGUCCGGGAUCUCAUCCGGGACUCCGAACAACCUUCGGUAACCACAUACUAUUUCCCAUAACAACUCUAGCGUCACCGAACCUUAAGUGUGUAGACCCUACGGGUUCGGGAACCAUGCAGACAUGACCGAGACGUUCUCCAGCCAAUAACCAACAGCGGGAUCUCGAUACCCAUAUUGGCUCCCACAUGUUGCACGAUGAUCUCAUCGGAUGAACCACAAUGUCGUGGAUUCAAUCAAUCCCGUAUUCAAUUCCCUUUGUCUAUCGGUAUGUUACUUGCCCGAGAUUCGAUCGUCGGUAUCCCCAUACCUCGUUCAAUCUUGUUACCGGCAAGUCUCUUUACUCGUUCCGUAACGCAUGAUCCCGUGACUAACUCCUUAGUCACAUUGAGCUCAUUAUGAUGAUGCACUACCGAGUGGGCCCAGAGAUACCUCUCCGUCAUACGGAGUGACAAAUCCCAGUCUCGAUUCGUGCCAACCCAACAGACACUUUCGGAGAUACCUGUAGUGCACCUUUAUAGCCACACAGUUACGUUGUGACGUUUGAUACACCCAAAGCAUUCCUACGGUAUCCGGGAGUUGCACAAUCUCAUGGUCUAAGGAAAUGAUACUUGACAUUAGAAAUCUAGCAAACGAACUACACGAUCUUGUGCUAUGCUUAGGAUUGGGUCUUGUCCAUCACAUCAUUCUCCCAAUUAUGUGAUCCCGUUAUCAACGACAUCCAAUGUCCAUGGCCAGGAAACCAUGGCCAUCUAUUGAUCAACGAGCUAGUCAACUAGAGGCUUACUAGGGACAUGUUGUGGUCUAUGUAUUCACACAUGUAUUACGGUUUCCAGUUAAUACAAUUAUAUCAUGAACAAUUGACAAUCAUCAUGAACAAGGAAAUACAAUAAUAACCAUUUAUUAUUGCCUCUAGGGCAUAUUUCCAACAGUCUCCCACUUGCACUAGAGUCAAUAAUCUAGUUCACAUCACUAUGUGAUUGUAAUGAAUCCAACACCCAUGGGGUUUGUUCAUAUCUCGCUUGUGAGAGAGGUUAUUAGUCAACGGGUCUGAACCUGUCAGAUCCGUGUGUGUUUUACAAAUCUAUAUGUCAUCUUGUAGAUGUAGCUACCACGCGCUACUUGGAGCUAUUCCAAAUAACUGAUCUACUAUACGAAUCUAGUUUACUACUCAGAGUCAUCCGGAUUAGUGUCAAAGUUUGCAUCGACGUAACCCCUUACGACGAACUCUUUUACCACCUCCAUAAUCGAGAAAAUUCCUUAGUCCACUAAUUACUAAGGAUAAGUUCGACCGCUGUCAUGUGAUCCAUUCCUGGAUCACUCUUGUACCCCUUGACUAAUUCAUGGCAAGGCACACUUCAGGUGCGGUACACAACAUAGCAUACUGUAGAGCCUACGUCUAAAGCAUAGGGGACGACCUUCGUCCUUUCUCUCUCUUCUGCCGUGGUCAGGUCUUGAGUCUUACUCAAUACUCACACCUUGUAACACAGCCAAGAACUCCUUUGCUGAUCUAUUUUGAACUCCUUCAAAAUCUUGUCACGGUAUGUAUUCAUUUGAAAGAACUAUUAAGCAUUUUUGAUCUAUCCUUAUAGAUCUUGAUGCUCAAUGUUCAAGUAGCUUAAUCCAGGUUUUCCAUUGAAAAACACUUUUCAAAUAACCCUGUAUGCUUUCCAGAAAUUCUACAUCAUUUCUGAUCAACAAUAUGUUAACAACAUAUACUCAUCAAAAAAUCUAUAGUGCUCCCACUCACUUCUUUGGAAAUACAAGUUUCUCAUAAAUUUUGUAUAAACCCAAAAUCUUUGAUCAUCUCAUCAAAGCGUACAUUCCAACCCCGAGAUGCUUACUCCAGUCCUUAGAAGGAUUGCUGGAGCUUUGCAUACUUGUUAGCAUCUUUCAGGAUUGACAAAACCUUCUGGUUGUAUCACAUACAACCUUUCCUCAAGAAAAUCGUCGAGGAAACAAUGUUUUGACAUCCUAUCUGCAAGAUUUCAUAAAUAAUGCAGUAACUGCUAAUAUAAUUCCGACAGACUCUUAGCAUCGCUACGAGUGAGAAAGUCUCAUCGUAGUCAACUCCUUGAACUUGUCGGAAAACAUCCUAACGACAAGUCGAGCCUUUUUAAUGGUGACACUUACCAUCAUUGUCCGUCUUCCUUUUAAAAUCCAUCUGCACCCAACAACCUUACGACCAUCAAGUAGUUCUUCCAAAGUCUAUACUUUGCUUUUAUACAGGGAUCCUCUCUCGGAUUUUAUGGCCUUGAGCCAUUCGUCGGAAUCCGGGCCCACCAUCGCUUCUCCAUAGCUCGUAGGUUCAUUGUUAUCUAGCAACAUGACUUCCAGGAUAGGAUUACGUACCACUCUGAAGUAGUAUGCAUCCUUGUCGACCUACGAGGUUUGGUAGUGACUUGAUCCGAAGUUUCAUGAUCACUAUCAUAAGCUUCCACUUCAAUUGGUGUAGGUGCCACAGGAACAACUUCCUGUGCCCUGCUACACACUAGUUGAAGUGACAGUUCAAUAACCUCAUCAAGUCUCCACCAUCCUCCCACUCAAUUCUUUCGAGAGAAACUUUUCCUCGAGAAAGGACCCAUUUCUAGAAACAAUCACUUUUGCUUCCAGAUCUGAAAUAGGAGGUAUACCCAACUGUUUUGGGUAUUCUAUGAAGAUGCAUUUAUCUGCUUUGGGUUCGAGCUUAUCAGCCUGAAACUUUUUCACAUAAGCGUCGCAGCCCCAAACUUUUAAGAAACGACAGCUUAGGUUUCUCUAAACCAUAGUUCAUACGGUGUCGUCUCAACGGAAUUGCGUGGUGCCCUAUUUAAAGUGAAUGCGGUUGUCUCUAACGCCUAACCCAUAAACGAUAGUGGUAAUUCGAUAAGACACAUCAUGGUAUGCACCAUAUCCAAUAGGGUGCAGUUAUGAUGUUCGGACACACCAUCACACUAUGGUGUUCCAGGCGGUAUUAGUUGUGAAACAAUUUCCACAAUGUCUUAAUUGUGUGCCAAACUCGUAACUCAGAUAUUCAUCUCUAUGAUCAUAUCAUAGACAGUUUAUCCUCUUGUCACGACGAUCUUCAACUUCACUUUGAAAUUACUUAAACCUUUCAAUAAUUCAGACUUGUGUUUCAUCAAGUAAAUAUACUCAGCAUCUACUCAAAUCAUCUGUGAAGUAAGAACAUAACGAUAUCCACUGCGUGCCUCAGCACUCAUUGGACUGCACACAUCAAAAUUUAUUACUUCCAACAAGUUGCUUUCUUGUUCCAUCUUACUGAAAAUGAGGCCUUUCAGUCAUCUUGCCCAUGUGGUAUGAUUUGCAUGUCCCAAGUGAUUCAAAAUCAAGUGAGUCCAAACGAUCCAUCUGUAUGGAGUUUCUUCAUGCAUAUCUACCAAUAGACAUGGUUCGCAUGUCUCAAUCUUUUCAAAAACGAGUGAGUCCAAAGAUCCAUCAACAUGGAGCUUCUUCAUGCGUUUUAUACCAAUAUGACUCAAAUGGCAGUGCCACAAGUAUGUGGUACUAUCAUUACUAUUUUAUAUCUUUUGGCAUGAACAUGUGUAUCACUACGAUCGAGAUUCAAUAAACCAUUCAUUUUAGGUGCAAGACCAUUGAAGGUAUUAUUCAAAUAAAUAGAGUAACCAUUAUUCUUCUUAAAUGAAUAACCGUAUUGCGAUAAACAUAAUCCAAUCAUGUCUAUGCUCAACGCAAACAUCAAAUAACAAUUAUUUAGGUUUAAUACCAAUCCCGAUGGUAGAGGGAGCGUACGAUGUUUGAUUACAUCAACCUUGGAAACACUUCCAACACAUAUCGUCAUCUCACCUUUAGCUAGUCUCCGUUUAUUCCGUAGCCUUUUAUUUCGAGUUACCAACACUUAGCAACCGAAUCGGUAUCUAAUACCCUGGUGCUACUAGGAGUACUAGUAAAGUACACAUUAAUAUACUGUAUAUCCAAUAUACUUCUGUCGACCUUGCCAGCCUUCUCAUCUACCAAGUAUCUAGGGUAGCUCUGCUUCAGUGACCGUUCCCCUCAUUACAGAAGCACUUAGUCUCGGGUUUGGGUUCAACCUUGGGUUUCUUCACUAGAGCAGCAACUGAUUUGCCGUUUCAUGAAGUAUCCCUUCUUUCCCUUGCCCUUCUUGAAACUAGUGGUUUUACUAACCAUCAACAAUUGAUGCUCCUACUUGAUUUCUACUUUCGCGGUGUCAAACAUCGCGAGUUGCUCAAGGAUCAUCAUGUCUAUCCCUGAUAUGUUAUAGUUCAUCACGAAGCUCUAAUAGCUUGGUGGCAGUGACUAUGGAGAACCAUCACUAUCUCAUCUGGAAGAUUAACUCCCACUCGAUUCAAGCGAUUGUAGUACUCAGACAAUCUGAGCACAUGCUCAACGAUUGAGCUUUUCUCCCUUAGUUUGCAGGCUUAAGAAACUUGUCUAAGGUCUCAUACCUCUUGACGUGGGCACUAGUCUGAAAUCCCAAUUUUAGUCUUUGGAACAUCUCAUAUGUUCUGCGAUGUUUCAUAAACGUCUUUGUCACCUCAAUUCUAAACCGUUAGCAUUACGCACUGAACUAUCACGUAGUCAUCAAAACGUGUAUGUCAGAUGUUCGCAACAUCCACAGACGACGCUCGAGGUUCAGCACACCGAGCGGUGCAUUAAGGACAUAAUCCUUCUGUGCAGCAAUGAGGAUAAUCCUCAGUUUACGGACCCAGUCCGCAUAAUUUCUACUAUCAACUUUCAACUAAAUUUUCUCUAGGAACAUAUCUUAAACAGUAGAACCAAAGCGUAAGAUAUGACAUAAUUUGCAAAGACCUUUUGACUAUGUUCAUGAUAAUUAAGUUCAUCUGAUUAUUUAAUGAACUCCCACUUAGAUAGACAUCCCUCUAGUCAUCUAAGUGAACAUGAUCCGAAUCGACUAGACCGUGUCCGAUCAUCACGUGAGACGGACUAGUCAUCAUCGGUGAACAUCUUCAUGUUGAUCAUAUCUACUAUACGACUCAUGUUCGACCUUUCGGUCUCUUGUGUUCCGAGGCCAUGUCUGUACAUGCUAGGCUCGUCAAGUCAACCUAAGUGUUUCGCAUGUGUAAAUCUAGCUUACACCCGUUGUAUGCGAACGUUAGAAUCUAUCACACCUGAUCAUCACGUGGUGCUUUCGAAACAAUGAACCUUCGCAACGGUGCACAGUUAGGGGGAACACAUCUCUUGAAAUUUUAGUGAGGGAUCAUCUUAUUUAUGCUACCGUCGUUCUAAGCAAAUAAGAUGUAAACAUGACAAACAUCACAUGCAAAUCAUAAAGUGACAUGAUAUGGCCAAUAUCACCUUGCAACUUUGAUCUCCAUCUUCGAGGCGCGGCAUGAUCACCUUCGUCACCGGCAUGACACCAUGAUCUCCAUCAUCAUGAUCUCCAUCAUCGUGUCUUCAUGAAGUUGUCUCGCCAACUAUUACUUCUACUACUAUGGCUAACGGUUAGCAAUAAAGUAAAGUAAUUACAUGGCAUUUUUCAUUGACACGCAGGUCAUACAAUAAAUUAAGACAACUCCUAUGGCUCCUGUCGGUUGUCAUACUCAUCGACAUGCAAGUCGUGAUUCCUAUUACAAAAACAUGAUCAAUCUCAUACAUCACAUAUAUAUAAUUCAUCACAUCCUUUUGGCCAUAUCACAUCACAUAGCAUACCCUGCAAAAACAAGUUAGACGUCCUCUAAUUGUUGUUGCAUGUUUUACGUGGCAGCUAUGGGUUUCUAGCAAGAACGUUUCUUACCUACGCAAAAGCCACAACGGUGAUAUGCCAAUUGCUAUUUACCCUUCAUAAGGACCCUCUUCAUCGAAUCCGAUCCGACUAAAGUGGGAGAGACAGACACCCGCUAGCCACCUUAUGCAUCAAGUGCAUGUCUGUCGGUGGAACCUGUCUCACGUAAGUGUACGUGUAAGGUCGGUCCGGGCCGCUUCAUCCCACAAUGCCGCCGAAUCAAGAUAAGACUAGUAACGGCAAGCAAAUGGAACAAAUCAUCGCCCACAACUACUUUGUGUUCUACUCGUGCAUAGAAUCUACGCAUAGACCUAGCUUAUGAUGCCACUGUUGGGGAACGUAACAAUAAUUCAAAAUUUUCCUACGUGUCACCAAGAUCAAUCUAGGAGAUGCUAGCAACGAGAUAGAGGGAGUGCAUCUUCAUACCCUUGAAGAUCGCUAAGCGGAAGCGUUACAAGAACGCGGUUGAUGGAGUCAUACUCGCGGCGAUUCAAAUCGCGGAAGAUCCGAACUAGCGCCGAACGGACGGCGCCUCCGCGUUCAACACACGUACAGCCCAGGGACGUCUCCUCCUUCUUGAUCUAGUAAGGGGAGAGAAGAAGUUGAGGGAGAACUCCAGCAGCACGACGGCGUGGUGGCGAUGGAGCUCGUGGUUCUCCGGCAGAGCUUCGCUAAGCACUACGGAGGAGGAGGAGUUAGAGGAGGAGAGGGCUGCGCCAGGCAAGGGGUGCGGCUGCCCUCUCUCUCCCUCACUAUAUAUAGGGGGAAGGGGGUGGAGGAGGCGCCCUAUGGUUCCCUAGGGGAGGGGCGGCGGCCACAGGGGAAACCCUAGAUGGGUUUGGGCGCCCCCACCCCUGGGAAACUUGCCCCCCAAGCCGGGAGGGGUGGCUGCCCUAGGGGAGGCGCCCCCACCUCUCCACGUUACGUGAGAGGGGUUAGGAGGGGAGCACAGCCCCUUAGUGGGCUGGUGUGCCCCCUCCCCUUGGCCCAUAAGGCCCCCCAACGCUUGCCGGGGCCUCCGAAACACCUUUCGGUCACGCUGGUCGUCACUCGUUACUCCCAGAACAAUUCCGGACUCCAAUACCCUUCGUCCAAUAUAUCGAUCUUCACCUCCGGACCACUCCGGAGUUCCUCGUCACGUCCGGGAUCUCAUCCGGGACUCCGAACAACCUUCGGUAACCACAUACUAUUUCCCAUAACAACUCUAGCAUCACCGAACCUUAAGUGUGUAUGUUACCGGCAAGUCUCUUUACUCGUUCCGUAACGCAUGAUCCCGUGACUAACUCCUUAGUCACAUUGAGCUCAUUAUGAUGAUGCAUUACCGAGUGGGCCCAGAGAUACCUCUCCGUCAUACGGAGUGACAAAUCCCAGUCUCGAUUCGUGCCAACCCAGCAGACAGUUUUGGAGAUACCUGUAGUGCACCUUUAUAGCCACCCAGUUACGUUGUGACGUUUGAUACACCCAAAGCAUUCCUACGGUAUCCGUGAGUUGCACAAUCUCAUGGUCUAAGGAAAUGAUACUUGACAUUAGAAAAUCUCUAGCAAACGAACUACACGAUCUUGUGCUAUGCUUAGGAUUGGGUCUUGUCCAUCACAUCAUUCUCCCAAUGAUGUUAUCCUGUUAUCAACGACAUCCAAUGUCCAUGGCCAGGAAAUCAUGACCAUCUAUUGAUCAACGAGCUAGUCAACUAGAGGCUAACUAGGGACAUGUUGUGGUCUAUGUAUUCACACAUGUAUUACGGUUUCCAGUUAAUACAAUUAUAGCAUGAACAAUAGACAAUCAUCAUGAACAAGGAAAUACAAUAAUAACCAUUUAUUAUUGCCUCUAGGGCAUAUUUCCAACAGAAGGGUCCACGAAGAAGCAACCUUGUCUAUCCCACCAUGGCCGUCACCCACGAAGGACUUGCCUCACUAGGGUAGAUCUUCACGAAGUAGGCGAUCCCCUUGCCCUUACAAACUCCUUGGUUCAACUCCACAGUCUUGUCGGAGGCUCCGAAGUGACACCUAGCCAAUCUAGGAGACACCACUCUCCAAGAAGUAACAAAUGGUGUGUUGAUGAUGAACUCCUUGCUCUUGUGCUUCAAAUGAGAUGCCAAUUUAGUUAAAUUUGCCACUUGUUUUUUUAAUCAAUUAUCUUAGGCAAUAGGGGCCAAAUGAGAUGAAAUGUCUUGGUAGCUGGUACCCUUAUUUGGUAGAUAUUUGUGAAAAGUUUUUUCGGCAAUAGGUGCCACCGAAAUGCUUUGUCCAUCAAAUUGCUUCUCGCGGAAGAACCAAACAUAUCACAUGCUACUGUUUUUCUUUCCUGUGAAGUGAAUCGUUAAUCCUUUGCUCAUAUUGCUUUAGGAAAAUGGCGCCACCACCACCACCACUAUGUCGACUGUGCAAGUCAAGGUGCGCCAGCAACCUUGCAACUGGCAAGCUGUUCGGCGUCUACUUCCAGCCGAGUUUUCAUCAUGCGGCGGUAAGAAAUUAGAUGAAAUGUAACAACUAUUUUAUUUUUAGUGUUGGCAUUACUGCAUUGUGUCAUUUUUCUUUUUUUACACAGAUCGUCCCAUGCAAUGUGAGGUUGAAAUUCAACAAGCUGACAGGAGACACUGUGACAUUUGAGGCUCCUGGGGGGCCGUACACUAUGGAGGUCGAGAAAGGACGCAAUAUGUCGCAGAUUGGAGAUGGAUGGGCCCGUUUCCUUGCCCACACGCGUCUUACUGGUGGUGAGUUGAUCAGCUUCUCCUUCAGAGCAGAAAGACCCAAGCUGACUGUCAUUUAUCUCAACCUGGUGUAAGAUGACGAAGAUGAUGAAGAUAAUGAGGACCCACUCGAUAAAGAUGAUGAGAACCCACUUCAUGAAGCCAUCGUAGCUCAAAGAAUGAGGCUGAGCGAGGAGGAGGUGUGCAACCUAUGGGACAUAAUUCCGCCACGUGAUGACUUUGUCGGGGUGCCAUUCGUGACCCGCCUGACAAGUACCAUGGUCGAUCGGCAUGAAAUGGUAUGUUAUACGUACUGCCUGUAUUAAUUUGAUGAUAUAUAUAUAUGCUUUAUUGUUAUACUUACAAAUGAAAAUUAUGCGAUAAUAUGCUUAGUGAAUCCGAUGAUAUGCUUAGUGUAGAGUCCAAUGAUAUGCUUUGUGGAAUCUAGUUGAUGAUAUGCUUUAGUGUAGAGUCUGAUCACAUGCUCUUAUUAGUGUAGAAUCCAAGGAACUAUUGAUAGUGUAGAUAAUCCAUAUAUACUUAUUAGUAGAAUUCAUGAUUAGUUAGUACAAAUGCAUAGUACUGUGUCUUUUGAUAGUGUAGAAAUCUAGACUUAAUAGAAAUAUAUUUGCAAGAGUAUGUGCGAGGCUAUUUAUUAAUUGAUAUGUUUUUCUUAUUCAGAAAUUGCCAAAGAACCUAUCUGUGAGUUGUGGUAUCGAGCCUGAUGAAGAAGGCUCAGCUGGACUACGCCUUACCACAAGGGGCUCCGUCACCACCUGUACUUACCGCAUGGACACAGACGGAACCAAGGAGUACUACCUAGUACCUAUAAUGCUUUAUGAAAUUGAUAUCUAGUAGUACCUAGUAUUUGGAAAUUGCAGUUUAUUGAAGCUGAAAUGGGGUAGGAAGCCGGGGGAAAUGAUGAAAGAUAUAGCAGUAGCGCGGGGCCAGGAAAUCCCUACAGCUAAUUAAUAGUAGCGCAUUCCGGAAACGCGUUGCUGAUAUAGUCCAUAGUAGUAGCGCGGUCCGCGCUACUACUAACAGUUAGCUGUAGGGCCUUAUUGGUAGCGCGGCUGCCCGCGCUGCUGAUAGCCUCAAAACCCGCGCUACUACUAGGGUUUUCCCUAGUAGUGGAUGUUUUUAUUGCCACUCUAUUAAUUUAACAAAUGUAUGCUUUAUUGUGUGAAGAUGCUUGUAUUUGUAUAAUUGAGAUUAUAUUGACAAAGUAGGUUUCGUUAAAACUAUUUUUCAUCGGUUGAUAUUUGUUCAACAACUUAAUGUUUUGGAUUAUAAUAUUGACACUUAAUUUGCCGGCUUAUUUUCAUCAAUAUUUUUAGCCACAUUUUCUCUCUUAUAAUGACAUUAAUCUAAAAUUUUAACUUAAUAUUGAAAAUGAUAAUUAACCUUACUUUUAUCUAAUCUUUCAAACCUCAGAUGUAAUAGUGUUUUUUCUUUGUAAGUUAUAUGUUUAAGUAUAAACAAAUAGAAAAUUCUAGAUUAUAUAGGGUGUCUAGGAGCAGUGUUUCCUAUUUUUCUGAAAUAUCUAUCUUGAAAUAGCAUUAGCUCAAUGAGCUAUAUAUUGUUAGGAAUUACCAAAACCACCCAGGGAUAGUUGCACUUUCAAUCUCCCCCUUUUUGGUAAUUGAUGAUAACAUAUAGAUCAAAGCUUCGACAAAUGAUAAAUAGUAUUGAAAAAACAUCGUCGCUUUGAGAAGUAUGUGAUAAGCAAGAGCUCCCCCUAAAUUUGUGCAUUAUUUAAAAUUUUCUUUUGAAUGCAAAUGCACAACCGAUUAGGAUCAUGGGUUACUCUUCCAUGUCACAUACAUCUUGGUGGAGCGCUCAAAAUGAUAGAAGUUAAAGCAUGCACUCAUCACCAAAACAAGUGAAUGGUCAUCUAGGAUAUAAGAGAUAAUUGUCGGAGUAAUGGGCCACGGGUAGCCUAACCCGAGCCCCCGAACCUUUCAAGACAUCGGGGCCGGCUGCGCCCCUCAAGACGUCAAGAUAGAUCUCUGCCUUCUGACGGCCGGUUGGCCGAACGGCCGACUGUCAGAAGGCGGCCGAGUUCCAGAAGACGGCAUCACAACAGGCCGACUCCUAGCGGGCGGCCUCCAGAGAGGCCGGCCCCUAGCAGUCGGCCCGUGGCGCCCUCAAAGUCUGCGCCCUCAUCAAGGAGACAAGACAGGGUGUGACUACAGCGUAGCCCAUCCCCAUGAAUCUAGGGCUGGGCGUGGCCACAGUGCCCCGUACAGGCGGAGAUCUCCGCACGGCGCGGCACUGUUGCCUCUCCCCCCUAAACGUCACUCCUAACAGGCGGAGCCCUGUUCCCACGACGGCCUGUCGGUACGGCUUGCAGACGGCGGGCCCUACCAGGCAGUGAGAGCCCUGAAGACGGAGGAAGCCAGGGCAGCCGGACCUGAGGGAAGCCGGCCUCCAGCAAGCGGCUUAUCCCUCCCUCGGGCCCCGUGCGCCAUGCUACCUCUUGAGCACUGCGUUAAUUUUCCCUUGAAGAGGAAAGGGUGAUGCAGCAAAGUAGCGUAAGUAUUUCCCUCAGUUUUUUAGAACCAAGGUAUCAAUCCAGUAGGAGGCUACACGCAAGUCCCUCGCACCUACACAAACAAAUAAAUCCUCGCAACCAAUGCGAUAAGGGGUUGUCAAUCCCUACACGGUCACUUACGAGAGUGAGACUGAUAGAUAUGAUAGGAUAAUAUUUUUGGUAUUUUUGUGAUAAAGAUGCAAAGUAAAGAAAGUAAAUAAAAACAGCAAAAGAAAUAGCUAAGUGUUGAAAGAUUAAUAUGAUGGAAAAUAGACCCCGGGGCCAUAGGUUUCACUAGUGGCUUCUCUAAAGAGCAUAAGUAUUUUACGGUGGGUGAAAAAAUUACUGUUGAGCAAUUGACAGAAUUGAGCAUAGUUAUGCGAAUAUCUAGGUAUGAUCAUGUAUAUAGGCAUCACGUCCGAGACAAGUAGACCGACUCCUGCCUGCAUCUACUACUAUUACUCCACACAUCGACCACUAUCCAGCAUGCAUCUAGAGUAUUAAGUUCAGAAGAACAGAGUAACACUUUAAGCAAGAUGACAUGAUGUAGAGGGAUAAAUUCAUGCAAUAUGAUAAAAAAAACAUCUUGUUAUCCUCGAUGGCAACAAUACAAUAUGUGCCUUGCUGCCCCUACUGUCACUGGGAAAGGACACCGCAAGAUUGAACCCAAAGCUAAGCACUUCUCCCAUUGCAAGAAAGAUCAAUCUAGUAGGCCAAACCAAACUGAUAAUUCGAAGAGACUUGCAAAGAUAACCAAUCAUACAUAAAAGAAUUCAGAAGAUUCAAAUAUUGUUCAUAGAUAAACUUGAUCAUAAAUCCACAAUUCAUCGGUCUCAACAAACACACCGCAAAAGAAGAUUACAUCGAAUAGAUCUCCACAAGAGAGGGGGAGAACAUUGUAUUGAGAGCCAAAAAGAGAGAAGAAGCCAUCUAGCUAAUAACUAUGGACCCGAAGGUCUGAGGUAAACUACUCACACUUCAUCGGAGAGGCUAUGGUGUUGAUGUAGAAGCCCUCCGUGAUCGAUGCCCCCUCCGGCGGAGCUCCGAAACAGGCCCCAAGAUGGGAUCUCGUGGGUACAGAAGGUUGCGGCGGUGGAAUUAGGUUUUUGGCUCUGUAUCUGAUCGUUUGGGGGUACGUAGGUAUAUAUAGGAGGAAGGAGUACGUCGGUGGAGCAACGUGGGGCCCACGGGGGUGGAGGGCGCGCCUGGGGGGGUUAGGCGCGCCCCCUACCUCGUGGCUUCCUGCUUGAUUUCUUGACAUAGGGUCCAAGUCCUCUGGAUCAUGUUCGUUCCGAAAAUCACGUUCCCGAAGGUUUCAUUCCGUUUGGACUCCGUUUGAUAUUCUUUUUCUGCGAAACUCUGAAAUAGGCAAAAAAACAGCAAUUCUGGGAUGGGCCUCCGGUUAAUAGGUUAGUCCCAAAAAUAAUAUAAAAGUGGAUAAUAAAGCCCAGUAAUGUCCAAAACGGAAGAUAAUAUAGCAUGGAGCAAUCAAUAAUUAUAGAUACGUUGGAGACGUAUCACGCCAUCAACCAGAUGAGACGUAGUGUGGCUACAGUAAUCGCUCGCCAGGCGGCGGGACUGUAGCCACGCUCCCCCGAUCAAGCCUGCGUCAUUAGCAUCACGGCUACAGUGAUCAGCAGCCGGCAAGACCCGCGAGCGGCGGGAGUGGCCUGUCGGCUCCGAACCAGACCAGUCGGCGGGGCCCACCGGGAGGCGGGCCCCAGCAGCUGGCGGAGAAGCCGGCGACCAGAGAGACUGACAGCCGGGUCCUACACCCAACUGGAUUACAAUUGUACCCCUGGGGGUAGGCCUAUAUAAACCCCCCAAGGCACCCAUGCAAAGGGUUCGAACCUGUUAGAACUAGACUCACACCUAGAGGAGGAGAGAGCGUGCCUGCCUUCUUUCACCUCUAGCAAACAGCUCAAGGAGCACCAUUGUUCCACUAGUGCCUUAGUGAUCAUGCGGAGACCCCGCAGAGCAGGACUAGGGGUGUUAUCUCCACGGAGAGCCCCGAACCUGGGUAAAGUUCGCUGGCGUACGUGUCUACGCCUCAUCCCGCUUCCAUGCACCGACGACGUUCUACUCGCUCCCAUUAUGAUAAGCCAUCCUUUGGCAUAUGUCGCACCCAACCCCCGACAUUUGGUGCCCACUGUGGGGCCAGGUGCACCGUCUCCCGGAGACCUGCUCUGGACGAGAACCUUGUUCCUUCCUGGCGAGCGCAGCCUGCCCGGCACGCCAGACGGCAUCUGCACCGACGCGCUGCGCGGCGCGGAGGUCGCCUGCGCGGCGAGCUGCCUCGCCGAUCUUGUUGGCGAGAUUCGCCUCUCCGACGAGCCCGCGUCUGAUGCGGGCACCGAUGGCCCUGAGAGCCGCCUCGCGAGCCUCCUCGAUCGGCUCCACGUCGCCAGCGAGCCUGCUGCUGACUUGGAGUCGGUUGGCUCCACCGACCCGAUGUUGGUCGACUCCGACACAGCAUCGCUCGACGCGUUCCCCACCAACAUGGUGGUCUACGAUGAUCCGCUUCCUCGCGCGGACAGCGGUGGAAGCACCGUCACGGAGGUGCUCGUCAUCAGCCACGGCGAGCACUCUGGCGGAGGUGGCCAGGACGCGUUGCAGACGGCAAUGCAAGACCUGGCUGCGCCUAUCCCGGAAGACGCCAACGCCGAGACGCUGGAAGCGCGCCGCGUCCAGCUCGUCGAGAGCGCCAACCGGCUAGCCAGCAUGAGACGCCUUUCGGAGGCCUACCAGCGGGAAAUUGACCGUGCCGUCGGCGGCACGCCGGCUCCUGGUGGGCCUAGCCGCAUUGGCUUGGUCCGGCAGCAUGGCGCGACCAUCGCCAGCAUGUUCGGGACAGAUCGUCCCGUCUACGCCACGCCUGCGGAGAACAUACGAGCUGCCCAGGCGGCAGCAGACGAGUUAGACAAGCUCGAGGGCGACGAGCGUCGCCACAUGACGGAGCGAGUUCAGCAGCUCCUCGACGCGGCUGCUGAGCACCAAGAUGCCAGGUGCCGGACUGAAGCGCCCAACCGGCGAAACGACGAUCCACCUCCUCGACAAGACCAAGGCGCGACAUCCCGGACACCGACUGGUGGCGUCCGCGACAGAAGAGACAAGGAGCCGACUGCCAGCCGCAGCCCGACUCGCAUCACCAUUGAGCGCGACCAAGACGGCCGCCCAAGAGCAGUGCAACGACGAGACGACUGUCCGCCUCCUCCUCCCCGCAGGGAGAGGCACAUUUCCCCGCCGCCUGUUGAUCACCCGUCACUCGGCGACCGCCUUGGCCGCCGAGAAGGAAUCGGGGAAAACGACGCCCGCCACCGGAUCGAUUGCCUCAAUGGAUCCCUGGCGCUAGAAGAAGAAGAUGAGCUGGGUCCGCCUUGCUUUGGCCCCCGCAUCCGAGACGAACCUUUCCCCAAAGGGUUCACGCUCCUGAGAGAUACACCCAAGUACACCGGCUCCAUGAGGCCGGAGGACUGGCUGGUCGACUACUCCACAGCCGUCAGCAUCGCGAACGGCAACAAGCGUGUUGCCGUGAAGUACGUUCCGCUCAUGCUCCAGGGCACGGCCCGGACAUAGCUAAACAGCCUGAAGCCCCGCAGCAUCAACAACUGGGUAGAUUUCACUGAAGCAUUCAUCCGCAACUUCACCAGCACGUACAAGCGGCCGCCCAAGCCUCGCCAACUCUCCUUGUGCGUCCAAGGCCCCAACGAGUCGAGUCGCGACUACCUCACGCGCUGGGCCGAACUACGCAACUCUUGUGAGGGCGUGCACGAGGUGCAGGCCAUCGAGUAUUUCACUGCCGGGUGCCGAGAGGACACCCUCCUCAAGCACAAGCUCCUCUGCGACGAGCCGGCAACCCUCGACGAACUGCUGGUCAUAGCCAACAAGUACGCCACGGCCGACUCCUCCAUGAAGACGGAGAUCCAAGUCAAUGUGUCGGGUAAGGUGGCCCCUCAAGCUCCUCGGACCCCGGCUAGUGACACCAGUCGGAGACAGCAACCAAACGACAACAAGCGCAAGGCCAUGCAGCCGGCUUCCUCGAGCCGGCAGGUGGAAACAGUCGAAGAUCAGCAGCCGGAAGGGCAGCCACCCCCAAGCGCCAGAAGGGCGGCAAGCCCAACUGGUUGCCCGCCUUCUCAUACGAGCAGACCCUUGAUGCACCCUGCAAAUUCCACAGCGGCGCGAAGCCGUCCAACCAUACAACUCGGAAGUGCCACUGGCUCACCAGGAUCGCUAAGGGUGACGGACUCCAGCCGACUCCGCCUGCCGGCCCGCCGCCUGCUCCUCAGCAGCCGGCGGCCCGGCCAGUCGGUGCCAUACAAGAUGAAUACCCUGAAGAGCAUGGAGCCUAUGUUGUGUUCACCAGCGUGGCCGACGACAAGCGCAGCAGACGGCAGCAGCAACAAGAAGUGAAUGCGGUAGCAUCAGAGGCCCCCGAAUUCAUGCACUGGUCUGAGAAGCCCAUCAGCUGGAGCAGAGCUGACCACCCGGAGGUGAUGCCAAAUCCCGGCUCUUAUGCCUUGGUGUUGGAUGCCACCUUUGCCACUGAGAGGCGAGCCGCUCGUUUUUCCCGAGUUUUGAUAGAUGGCGGCGGCAGCAUCAACAUCUUGUACAAAGAUACCAUGGAGAAGUUGGGAAUCAAGCAGAGACAUCUUCAGCCCAGCCGGACUGUUUUCCAUGGCAUAGUUCAUGGCCUUUCCUGCCCACCAAUCGGCAAGACUCGGAUAGAUGUCCGCUUCGGGGAAAAAAUCAUUUCCGCCAAGAGCCAGUCUAGUUUGAGGUGAUGGACCUUAAGAGCCCCUACCAUGCACUGCUUGGCCGGCCUGCUCUGGCCAAGUUCAUGGCGGUCCCCCACUAUGCCUACCUCAAGAUGAAGAUGCCGAGCUCCAAGGGAAUCCUGACUAUAGCAGGAGACCACAAGAAGUCGUCCGCCUGUGCAGCAAAGAGCAGCCGGUUAGCCGAGUCCCUUGUGAUCGCGGCUGAGAAGCGGCUCCUUGACCGGGUUGUGGCAAUGGCAGGCAAGCAGCCGGAAAUGUCACCCGACCCCAAGGAGUCGGAAGCUGAGGGCUCGUUCAAGCCGGCCAAAGAGACAAAGAAGAUACCCUUGGACCCGGAGCACCCGGAGAGGUACGCUGUCAUAGGUGUGAACCUUGACAGCAAAUAGGAAGGCGAGCUCAUCGAUUUCCUCCGUGAGAAUUGGGACAUCUUUGCAUGGUUCCCCAAGGACAUGCCGGGUGUUCCGACGGAAUUCGCCGAGCACAAGCUACACGUCCAGUCAGAUGCCAAGCUAGUCAGGCAGCCCUUGUGCCGCCUGUCGGAGGAGAAGAGAAGAGUUGUUGGAGAAGAGAUAGCUCGGCUUCUAGCAGACGGCUUCAUCAUGGAGGUAUUAUUUCCAGAGUGGUUAGCCAACCCGGUCCUAGUGCUGAAGAAGAACAAGCAGUGGCGCAUGUGUAUUGAUUAUACCAGCCUCAACAAAGCAUGCCCCAAAGACCACUUUGCCUUACCAUGGAUUGACCAAGUGAUAGACUCCACAGCCAGAUGCGAGCUGUUGAGCUUUUUGGAUGCAUACCCAGGGUAUCAUCAGAUCAAGCUAAACCCGGCCGAUAGGCUGAAGACCGCCUUCAUCAUGCCGUUCGGAGCCUUCUGCUACCUGACCAUGACGUUCGGCUUGAGAAACGUCGGCACCACUUUUCAACGAUGCAUGCAGAAGUGUCUCCUCAAGCAACUCGGCAGAAACGCCCAUGUCUAUGUGGACGAUGUGGUGGUGAAAAUGGAGAAGCGUGGGACGCUUCUAGAUGAUCUCAAGGAGACCUUUGAGAAUUUGCGCCGAUUUCGGAUCAAGCUCAACCCGGAGAAAUGCGUCUUUGGAGUACCAUCCGGCCAGCUUCUUGGCUUCUUGGUCUCAGCGCGCGGCAUAGAGUGCAACCUUGUGAAGAUCAAGGCCAUCGAGAGGAUGGAGGUGCCCACCCGACUGCUAGACGUGCAAAAAUUCACCGGCUGCUUGGCAUCCAUCAGUCGUUUCAUCAGUUGGUUGGGCGAGAAGGCUCUUCCCCUGUACCAGCUCAUGAAGAAGACCACUUUUUUCGAGUGGAACGACAAGGCGGAUGAGGAUUUUCUCCAGCUCAAGAAAAUGUUGACCACUCUGCCUGUCCUGGCGGCCCCGACUCCCAAGGAGCCCAUGCUCCUCUACAUCGUCGCUACCAGCCGGGUGGUCAGCACAGUCAUAGUGGUGGAACGCAAGGAAGAAGGCAAAGCCCUACCAGUCCAAAGGACGAUGUAUUACCUGAGCGAACUACCAUCCGCUUCCAAGCAGAACUAUCCCCACUACCAGAAGAUGUGCUAUGGCGCACACUUUGCCGCCAAGAAACUGAAGCCAUACUUCCAAGAGCACCCAAUCACUGUGGUAUGCACAGCUCCGCUUGCCGAGAUCAUUGGAAGCCAAGAUGCUUCAGGCCGAGUGGCCAAAUGGGCCAUAGAUUUGGCCCCCUACACCAUCUACUACCAGCCUCGCACCGCCAUCAAGUCACAAGCACUGGCCGACUUCGUCGUUGAUUGGGCCGAGACCCAGUACCUGCCGCCUGCGCCAGACUCCACCCAUUGGCGAAUGCACUUUGAUGGUUCCAAGAUGCGCACCGGUUUGGGAGGCGGCAUCGUCCUCACGUCUCCCAAAGGCGACAAGCUCAGAUAUGUGCUGCAGAUCCAUUUUGCCGCCUCCAACAACGUCACUGAAUACGAAGCACUCAUUCACGGGCUCCGGCUUGCCAAGGAACUCGGCAUUCGCCGGAUCCUGUGCUAUGGUGAUUCCGACUUGGUGGUCCAGCAAUCGUCAGGCGACUGGGACGCCAAGGAUGCAAAUAUGGCGAGUUACCGUUUCCUCGUGCAGCAACUCUGUGGAUACUUUGAAGGGUGCGAGUUUCUCCAUGUGCCAAGGAAUGACAAUGAGCAAGCAGAUGCCCUUGCACGAAUCGGCUCCACCCGGCAAGCAAUACCAACCGGCGUCGCCCUACAACGCCUCCUGAAGCAGUCGGAUCCGACUUGAGGAGCCCAGCAGCCGGCACGAGGAAUUCGGCAGGCGACCCGGGGACUGCAGCAGUCGCACCCGGUCCGGGGACUUCAGAGCCCGACCCGGGGACUGCAGCAGUCGGCCCGGGGACUUCGACGACUCAGAAAGCGACAGCUGACUCCAACCCGCCGCCUCCCGGCCCAACCGCCCUCGUGCGAGUAGCAGUCUUAGCAAUUGAAGAAAUCGCAGCGCCUUGAUAGGCCAAGCCCAUGUUGGGGAACGUAGUAAUUUCAAAAAAAUUCCUACGCACACGCAAGAUCAUGGUGAUGCAUAGCAACGAGAGGGGAGAGUGUUGUCCAUAUACCCUCAUAGACCGAAAGCGGAAGCGUUAGCACAACGCAGUUGAUGUAGUCGUACGUCUUCACGAUCCGACCAAUCAAGUACCGAAGGCACGACACCUCCGAGUUCAGCACACAUUCAGCCCGAUGACGUCCCUCGAACUCCAAUCCAGCCGAGUGUUGAGGGAGAGUUUCGUCAGCACGACGGCGUGGUGAUGAUGAUGAUGUUCUACCGACGCAGGGCUUCGCCUAAGCACCGCUACAGUAUUAUCGAGGUUGACUAAGGUGGAGGGGGGCACCGCACACGGCUAAAAGAUCAAACAAUCAAUUGUUGUGUCUCCAGGGUGCCCCCUGCCCCCGUAUAUAAAGGAGCAAGGGGGAGAGGUGCGGCCGGCCAGGAGGGGCGCGCCAGGAGGAGUCCUACUCCCACCAGGAGUAGGACUCCCUCCCUUUUCCUUGUUGGACUAGGAGUGGAGGGGGAAAGAGGAGGGAGAGAGAGGAAGGAAAGGGGGCACCGCCCCCCUCUCCUUGUCCUAUUCGGACAAGGGGUGAGGGGCACGCGGCCCUGCCCUGGCCGCCUCUCCUCUCUUCCACUAAGGCCCACUAUGGCCCAUUAAGCCCCCGGGGGGUUCCGGUAACCUCCCGGUACUCCGGUAAAAUCCCGAUUUCACCCGGAACACUUCCGAUAUCCAAACAUAGGCUUCCAAUAUAUCAAUCUUCAUGUCUCGACCAUUUCGAGACUCCUCGUCAUGUCCGUGAUCACAUCCGGGACUCCAAACAACCUUCGGUACAUCAAAACAUAUAAAAUCAUAAUAUAACUAUCAUCGAAACUUUAAGCAUGAGGACCCUACGGGUUCAAGAACUAUGUAGACAUGACCGAGACACGUCUCCGGUCAAUAACCAAUAGCGGAACCUGGAUGCUCAUAUUGGCUCCCACAUAUUCUAUGAACAUAUUUAUCAGUCAGACCGCAUAACAACAUACGUUGUUCCCUUUGUCAUCGGUAUGUUACUUGCCCGAGAUUCGUUCGUCGGUAUCUCAAUACCUAGUUCAAUCUCGUUACCGGCAAGUCUCUUUACUCGUUCCGUAAUACAUCAUCCCGCAACAAACUCAUUAGUUGCAAUGCUUGCAAGGCUUAAGUGAUGUGCAUUACCGAGAGGGCCCAGAGAUACCUCUCCGACAAUCGGAGUGACAAAUCCUAAUCUCGAAAUACGCCAACCCAACAAGUACCUUCGGAGACACCUGUAGAGCACCUUUAUAAUCACCCAGUUACGUUGUGACGUUUGGUAGCACACAAAGUGUUCCUCCGGUAAACGGGAGUUGCAUAAUCUCAUAGUCAUAGGAACAUGUAUAAGUCAUGAAGAAAGCAAUAGCAACAUACUAAACGAUCGAGUGCUAAGCUAACGGAAUGGGUCAAGUCAAUCACAUCAUUCUCCUAAUGAUGUGAUCCCAUUAAUCAAAUGACAACCCAUGUCAAUGGCUAGGAAACUUAACCAUCUUUGAUCAACGAGCUAGUCAAGUAGAGGCAUACUAGUGAUACUCUGUUUGUCUAUGUAUUAACACAUGUAUUAUGUUUCCGGUUAAUACAAUUCUAGCAUGAAUAAUAAACAUUUAUCAUGAUAUAAGGAAAUAAAUAAUAACUUUAUUAUUGCCUCUAGGGCAUAUUUCCUUCAGUCUCCCACUUGCACUAGAGUCAAUAAUCUAGAUUACACAGUAAUGAUUCUAACACCCAUGGAGCCUUGGUGCUGAUCAUGUUUUGCUCGUGGAAGAGGCUUAGUUAACAGGUCUGCAACAUUCAGAUCCAUAUGUAUCUUGCAAAUUUCUAUGUCUGCCACCUGGACUAAAUCCCGGAUGGAAUUGAAGCGUCUCUUGAUGUGCUUGGUUCUCUUGUGAAAUCUGGAUUCCUUCGCCAAGGCAAUUGCACCAGUAUUGUCACAAAAAAAAUUCAUUGGACCCGAUGCACUAGGUAUGACACCUAGAUCGGAUAUGAACUCCAUCAUCCAGACUCCUUCAUUUGUUGCUUCCGAAGCAGCUAUGUAUUCCGCUUCAACGUAGAUCCCGCCACGACGCUUUGUUUAGAACUACACCAACUGACAGCUCCACCGUUCAAGGUAAACACGUAUCGGGUUUGCGAUUUAGAAUCGUCUGCAUCAGUGUCAAAGCUUGCAUCAACGUAACCAUUUACGAUGAGCUCUCUGUCACCUCCAUAAACGAGAAACAUAUCCUUAGUCCUUUUCAGGUAUUUCAGGAUGUUCUUGACCGCUGUCCAGUGAUCCACUCCUGGAUUACUUUGGUACCUCCCUGCUAGACUUAUAGCAAGGCACACAUCAGGUCUGGUACACGGCAUUGCAAACAUGAUAGAGCCUAUGGCUGAAGCAUAGGGAACAUCUUUCAUCUUCUCUCUAUCUUCUGCAGUGGUCGGGCAUUGAGUCUUACUCAACUUCACACCUUGUAACACAGGCAAGAACCCUUUCUUUGACUGUUCCAUUUUGAACUACUUCAAAAUCUAGUCAAGGUAUGUACUCAUUGAAAAAACUUAUCAAAUGUCUUAGUCUAUCUCUAUAGAUCUUGAUGCUCAAUAUGUAAGCAGCUUCACCGAGGUCUUCCUUUGAAAAACUCCUUUUAAAUACUCCUUUAUGCUUUGCAAAAUAAUUCUACAUUAUUUCCGAUCAACAAUAUGUCAUUCACAUAUACUUAUCAGAAAUAUUGUAGUGCUCCCACUCACUUUCUUGUAAAUACAAGCUUCACCGCAAGUCUGUAUAAAACUAUAUGCUUUGAUCAAUUUAUCAAAGCGUAUAUUCCAACUCCGAGAUGCUUGCACCAGUCCAUAGAUGGAUCGCUGGAGCUUGCACAUUUUAUUAACACCUUUAGGAUCGAAAAAACCUUCUGGUUGCAUCAUAUACAACUCUUCUUUAAGAAAUCCAUUAAGGAACGUAGUUUUGACAUCCAUUUGCCAUAUUUCAUAAAAUGUGGCAAUUUGCUAACAUGAUUCGGACAGACUUAAGCAUUGCUACGAGUGAGGAAAUCUCAUCGUAGUCAACACCUUGAACUUUGUCAAAAACCUUUUUCAACAAGUCUAGCUUUGUAGAUAGUAACACUACUAUCAGCGUCCGUCUUCCUCUUGAAGAUCCAUUUAUUUUCUAUGGCCUGCCGAUCAUCGGUCAAGUCAACCAAAGUCCACACUUUGUUCUCAUGCAUGGAUCUCAUCUCAGAUUUCAUGGCCACAAGCCAUUUCAUGGAAUCUGGGCUAAUCGUCGCUUCCUCAUAGUUCGUAGGUUCGUCAUGGUCAAGUAACAUGACCUCCAGAAUAGGAUUACCGUACCACUCUAGUGCGGACCUACUCUGGUUGACCUACGAGGUUCGGUAGUAACUUGAUCUGAAGUUACAUGAUCAUCAUCAUUAGCUUCCUCACUAAUUGGUGUAGUAGUCACAGGAACAGAUUUCUGUGAUGAACUACUUUCCAAUAAGGGAGCAGGUACAGUUACCUCAUCAAGUUCUACUUUCCUCCCACUCACUUCUUUCGAGAGAAACUCCUUCUCUAGAAAGGAUCCAUUCUUGGCAACGAAUGUCUUACCUUCGGAUAUGUGAUAGAAGGUGUACCCAACUGUCUCCUUUGGGUAUCCUAUGAAGAUACAUUUCUCCGAUUUGGGUCUGAGCUUAUCAGGAUGAAACUUUUUCACAUAAGUAUCGCCCCAAACUUUUAAGACACGACAACUUUGGUUUCUUGCAAAACCACAAUUCAUACGGUGUCGUCUCAACGGAUUUAUAUGGUGCCCUUUUUAACGUGAAUGUAGCUGUCUCUAAUGCAUAACCCCAAAACGAUAGCGGUAAAUCAGUAAGAGACAUCAUAGAUCGCACCAUAUCUAGUAAAGUACGAUUACGACGUUCGGACACACCAUUACGCUGUGGUGUUCCGGGUGGCGUGAGUUGCAAAACUAUUCUGCAUUGUUUCAAAUGAAGACCAAACUCAUAACUCAAAUAUUCUCCUCCACGAUCAGAUCGUAGAAACUUUAUUUUCUUGUUACGAUGAUUUUCAUCUUCACUCUGAAAUUCUUUGAAAUUUUGAAAUGUUUCAGACUUAUGUUUCAUUAAGUAGAUAUACCCAUAUCUGCUUAAAUCAUCUGUGAAGGUGAGAAAAUAACGAUAUCCGCCACGAGCCUCAACAUUCAUUGGACCACAUACAUCUGUAUGUAUGAUUUCCAUCAAAUCUGUUGCUCUCUCCAUAGUUCCGGAGAACGGCAUUUUAGUCAUCUUGCCCAUGAGGCAUGGUUCGCAAGCAUCAAGUGAUUCCAAAAGCCCAUCAGCAUGGAUUUUCUUCAUGCGCUUUACACCAAUAUGACCUAAACGGCAGUGCCACAAAUAAGUUGCACUAUCAUUAUUAACUUUGCAUCUUUUGGCUUCAAGAUUAUGAAUAUGUGUAUCACUACGAUCGAGAUCCAACAAACCAUUUUCAUUGGGUGUAUGACCAUAGAAGGUUUUAUUCAUGUAAACAGAACAACAAUUAUUCUUUGACUUUAAAUGAAUAACCGUAUUGCAAUAAACAUGAUCAAAUCAUAUUCAUGCUUAACGCAAACACCAAAUAACAUUUAUUUAGGUUCAACACUAAUCCCGAAAGUAUAGGCAGUGUGCGAUGAUGAUCAUAUCAAUCUUGGAACUACUUCCAACACACAUCGUCAAUUCACCCUUAACUAGUCUCUGUUCAUUCUGCAACUCCCGAUUCGAGUUACUAAUCUUAGCAACUAAAUUAGUAUCAAAUACUGAGGGGUUGCUAUGAACACUAGUAAAGUACACAUCAAUAACAUGUAUAUCAAAAUAUACCUUUGUUUACUUUGCCAUCCUUUCUUAUCCGCCAAAUACUUGGGGUAGUUCCGUUUCUAGUGACCAAUCCCUUUGCAGUAGAAGCACUUAGUCUCAGGCUUAGGUCCAGAUUUGGGCUUCUUCACUUGAGCAGCAACUUGCUUGCCGUUCUUCUUGAAGUUCCCGUUCUUCCCUUUGCCCUUUUCUUGAAACUAGUGGUCUUGUCAACCAUCAACACUUGAUGCUUUUCUUGAUUUCUACCUUCGUCGAUUUCAUCAUCAUGAAAAAACUCGGGAAUCGUUUUCGUCAUCCCUUGCAUACUAUAGUUCAUCACGAAGUUCUACUAACUUGGUGAUGGUGACUAGAUAAUUCUGUCAAUCACUGUUUUAUCUGGAAGAUUAACUCCCACUUGAUUCAAGCGAUUGUAGUACUCAGACAAUCUGAGCACAUGCUCACUGCUUGAGCUAUUCUCCUCCAUCUUUUUAGCUAUAGAACUUGUUGGAGACUUCAUAUCUCUCAACUCGGGUAUUUGCUUGAAAUAUUAACUUCAACUCCUGGAACAUCUCAUAUGGUCCAUGACGUUCUAAACGUCUUUGAAGUCCCGAUUCUAUACCGUUAAGCAUGGUGCACUAUACUAUAAAGUAGUCAUCAUAUUGAGCUAGCCAAACGUUCAUAACGUCUGCAUCUGCUCCUGCAAUAGGUCUGUCACCUAGCGGUGCAUCAAGGACAUAAUUCUUCUGUGCAGCAAUGAGGAUAAACCUCAGUCCACGGAUCCAAUCCGCAUCAUUGCUACUAACAUCUUUCAACUUUGCUUUCUCAAGGAACGCAUUAAAAUUCAACGGAACAACAGCACGGGCCAUCUAUCUACAAUCAACAUAGACAAGCAAGAUACUAUCAGGUACUAAGUUCAUGAUAAAUUUAAGUUCAAUUAAUCAUAUUACCUAAGAACUCCCACUUAGAUAGACAUCCCUCUAAUCCUCUAAGUGAUCACGUGAUCCAUAUCAACUAAACCAUGUCUGAUCAUCACGUGAGAUGGAGUAGUUUCAACGGUGAACAUCACUAUGUUGAUCAUAUCUACUAUAUGAUUCACGCUCGACCUUUUGGUCUCCGUGUUCUAAGGCCAUAUCUGUUAUAUGCUAGGCUCGUCAAGCUUAACCUGAGUAUUCCGCGUGUGCAACUGUUUUGCACCCGUUGUAUUUGAACGUAGAGCCUAUCACACCCGAUCAUCACGUGGUGUCUCAGCACGAAGAACUUUAGCAACGGUGCAUACUCAGGGAGAACACUUAUACUUUGAUAAUUUAGUGAGGGAUCAUCUUAUAAUGCUACCGUCAAUCAAAGCAAGAUAAGAUGCAUAAAAGAUAAACCUCACAUGCAAUCAAUAUAAGUGAUAUGAUAUGGCCAUCAUCAUCUUGUGCUUGUGAUCUCCAUCUCCGAAGCACCGUCAUGAUCACCACCGUCACCGGCGCGACACCUUGAUCUCCAUCGUAGCAUCGUAGUUAUCUCGCCAAUCUUAUGCUUCUACGACUAUCGCUACCGCUUAGUGAUUAAGUAAAGCAUUACAGGGCGGUUGCAUUGCAUACAAUAAAGCGACAACCAUAUGGCUCCUGCCAGUUGCCGAUAACUCGGUUACAAAACAUGAUCAUCUCAUACAAUAAAAUUUAGCAUCAUGUCUUGACCAUAUCACAUCACAACAUGCCCUGCAAAAACAAGUUAGACGUCCUCUACUUUGUUGUUGCAAGUUUUACGUGGCUGCUACGGGCUUAGCAAGAACCGUUCUCACCUACGCAUCAAAACCACAACGAUAGUUUGUCAAGUUGGUGCUGUUUUAACCUUCGCAAGGACCGGGCGUAGCCACACUCAGUUCAACUAAAGUUGGAGAAACUGACACCCGCCAGCCACCUCUGUGCAAAGCACGUCGGAAGAACCAGUCUAGCGUAAGCAUACGCGUAAUUUCGGUCCGGGCCGCUUCAUCCAACAAUACCGCCGAACCAAAGUAUGACAUGCUGGUAUGCAGUAUGACUUAUAUCGCCCACAACUCACUUGUGUUCUACUCGUGCAUAUAACAUCUACGCAUAAAACCUGGCUCGGAUGCCACUGUUGGGGAACGUAGUAAUUUCAAAAAAAUUCCUACGCACACGCAAGAUCAUGGUGAUGCAUACCAACGAGAGGGGAGAGUGUUGUCCACGUACCCUCAUAGACCGAAAGCGGAAGCGUUAGCACAACGCGGUUGAUGUAGUCGUACGUCUUCACGAUCCGACCGAUCAAGUACCAAACGCACGGCACCUCCGAGUUCAGCACACGUUCAGCCCGAUGACGUCCCUCGAACUCCGAUCCAGCCGAGUGUUGAGGGAGAGUUUCGUCAGCACGACGGCGUGGUGACGAUGAUGAUGUUCUACCGAUGCAGGGCUUCGCCUAAGCACUGCUACAGUAUUAUCGAGGUGGACUAUGGUGGAGGGGGGCACCGCACACGGCUAAAAUAUCAAACGAUCAAUUAUUGUGUCUCCAGGGUGCCCCCCUGCCCCCGUAUAUAAAGGAGCAAGGGGGAGAGGUGCGGCCGGCCAGGAGGGGCGCGCCAGGAGGAGUCCUACUCCCACCGGGAGUAAUACUCCCUCCCUUUUCCUUGUUGGACUAUGAGUGGAGGGGGAAAGAGGAGGGAGAGAGGAAGGAAAGGGGGGCGCCGCCCCCCCUCUCCUUGUCCUAUUCGGACUAGGGGGGAGGGGCGCGCAGCCCUGCCCUGGCCGCCUCUCCUCUCUUCCACUAAGGCCCACUAUGGCCCAUUAAGCCCCCGGGGGGUUCCGGUAACCUCCCGGUACUCCGGUAAAAUCCCGAUUUCACCCGGAACACUUCCGAUAUCCAAACAUAGGCUUCCAAUAUAUCAAUCUUCAUGUCUCGACCAUUUCGAGACUCCUCGUCAUGUCCGUGAUCACAUCCGGGACUCCGAACAACCUUCGGUACAUCAAAACAUAUAAACUCAUAAUAUAACUGUCAUUGAAACUUUAAGCGUGCGGACCCUACGGGUUCGAGAACUAUGUAGACAUGACCGAGACACGUCUCCGGUCAAUAACCAAUAGCGGAACCUGGAUGCUCAUAUUGGCUCCCACAUAUUCUACGAAGAUCUUUAUCGGUCAGACCGCAUAACAACAUACGUUGUUCCCUUUUAUCAUCGGCAUGUUACUUGCCCGAGAUUCGAUCGUCGGUAUCUCAAUACCUAGUUCAAUCUCGUUACCGGCAAGUCUCUUUACUCGUUCCGUAAUACAUCAUCCCGCAACAAACUCAUAUGUUGCAAUGCUUGCAAGGCUUAAGUGAUGUGCAUUACCGAGAGGGCCUAGAGAUACCUCUCCGACAAUCGGAGUGACAAAUCCUAAUCUCGAAAUACGCCAACCCAACAAGUACCUUCGGAGACACCUGUAGAGCACCUUUAUAAUCACCCAGUUACGUUGUGACGUUUGGUAGCACACAAAGUGUUCCUCCGGUAAACGGGAGUUGCAUAAUCUCAUAGUCAUAGGAACAUGUAUAAGUCAUGAAGAAAGCAAUAGCAACAUACUAAACGAUCGAGUGCUAAGCUAACGGAAUGGGUCAAGUCAAUUACAUCAUUCUCCUAAUGAUGUGAUCCCAUUAGUCAAAUGACAACCCAUGUCAAUGGCUAGGAAACUUAACCAUCUUUGAUCAACGAGCUAGUCAAGUAGAGGCAUACUAGUGACACUCUGUUUGUCUAUGUAUUCACACAUGUCUUAUGUUUCCGGUUAAUACAAUUCUAGCAUGAAUAAUAAACAUUUGUCAUGAUAUAAGGAAAUAAAUAAUAACUUUAUUAUUGCCUCUAGGGCAUAUUUCCUUCAGCCCAUCCUCAACUUCUUGGUGAACAAAGAGCUCCCGACUGAUGAGAUCUCGGCCCGGCAAGUGCAACGCCGGGCAGCAGCAUACACCAUAGUCAACAGAGAGCUUGUAAGGCGUAGUGUCAUUGGUGUCUACCAGCGCUGCGUGGAGCCGGAGCAAGGUCAAGCAAUCCUCAAAGAUAUCUAUCAAGGCGAGUGUGGUCACCACACGGCUUCAAGAGCACUUGUUGCCAAAGCUUUUCGCCAUGGUUUUUUCUGGCCGACUGCUCUAGAAGACGCCAAAGACUUGGUCCAGAAAUGCAAAGGGUGCCAGAAGUUCCGCUCCAAGCCUCAUCAGCCGGCUUCUGCACUCAAGACUAUCCCCAUUGCCUGGCCCUUUGCUGUCUGGGGCCUGGACAUGGUGGGACCAUUCAAAACAGCACGAGGUGGCAUGAGUCAUCUGCUUGUCGCGGUGGACAAGUUCACCAAGUGGAUAGAAGCAAAACCAGUCAAGAAAUUGAAUGGUCCGACUACUAUGACUUUCAUCUCCGACAUCACCAUCUGGUAUGGCAUACCACACAGCAUCAUCACCGACAAUGGCACGAACUUCGCCAAAGGCGCCUUGGCCCGUUUUUGCACGACGCAGGGCAUCCGACUGGACUUAGCGUCUGUAGCCCAUCCGCAGUCAAACGGCCAAGUGGAGCGAGCAAACGGCCUUAUUUUGUCCGGCAUCAAGCCCCGAUGGUUGAGCCUCUGGAGCGUUCGGCCGGCUGCUAGCUCGAUGAGCUGCCGGCCGUCCUCUGGAGCCUGCGCACAACCCCGAACAAGUCAACCGGCUUCACUCCUUUCUUCCUCGUCUACGGUGCCGAAGCCGUCAUCCCGACGGACAUAGAAUUCGACUCCCCUCGAGUCACCAUGUACACCGAAGAGGAGGCAGAAGAAGCACGACAAGAUGGCGUCGAUCUGCUGGAAGAGGGCCGGCUGUUGGCACUCAGCCGGUCCACCAUCUACCAGCAGAGUCUGCGCCGAUACUACAACCGAAAGAUCAAGCCAAGAUCCUUCCAAGAAGGAGAUCUUGUACUCCGGCUGAUCCAGCGAACAGCCGGCCAGCAUAAGCUCUCGGCACCUUGGGAAGGCCCCUUCAUCAUCAGCAAGGUGUUGGGCAAUGACUCCUACUACCUCAUCGGCGCUCAGAAGCCUCGAGCACUCAAAAGAGAUGACUCCGGCAAGGAGACGGAGCGACCAUGGAAUGCGAAUCUCCUUCGAAGGUUUUACAAUUAAAGCAACCGUCUGGCACCGGGUUCGACCAGUCGACCCGGGGACUUGCCGCUUUGUACUAUGAAAUGCUUCCUGCAGCCGGACAAGUAAUGUGUUGGCACCUUAGCUUUCUCCUGCCAGAGGCCGCAGCUCACAGAGCGACUGUUCGGUCAGCAGGAGCUAAGGCUAAAAGGGUGUCUGCAUGAAAAAUGGCUAAGGACCUAAAGCAUACACAUAGUCCAAGCCGGUGAUACGUCUCCGUCGUAUCUACUUUUCCAAACACUUUUGCCCUUGUUUUGGACUCUAACUUGCAUGAUUUGAAUGGAACUAACCCGGACUGGCGUUGUUUUCAGCAGACUUUCCAUGGUGUUAUUUAUGUGCAGAAACAAAAGUUCUCGGAAUGACCUGAAACUCCACGGAACAUCUAUUUGGAAAAUAAGAAAAAUACCGGAAGAAAAAUCCACGUCAGGGGGCCCACACCCUGUCCACAAGGGUGGAGGGCGCACCUGCCCCCCUAGGGCGCGCCCCCUACCUCGUGGCCCUCCUGACGCUCCACCGACCUCAACUCCAACUCCAUAUAUUCACUUUCGGGGAGAAAAAAAUCAGAGAGAAGGAUUGAUCGCGUUUUAUGAUACGGAGCCGCCGCCAAGCCCUAAAACCUCUCGGGAGGGCUGAUCUGGAGUCUGUUCGGGGCUCCGGAGAGUGGAAUCCGUCGCCAUCGUCAUCAUCAACCAUCCUCCAUCACCAAUUUCAUGAUGCUCACCGCCGUGCGUGAGUAAUUCCAUCAUAGGCUUGCUGGACAGUGAUGGGUUGGAUGAGAUCUAUCAUGUAAUCGAGUUAGUUUUGUUAGGGUUUGAUCCCUAGUAUCCACUAUGUUCUGAGAUUGAUGUUGCUAUGACUUUGCUAUGCUUAAUGCUUGUCACUAGGGCCCGAGUGCCAUGAUUUCAGAUUUGAACCUAUUAUGUUUUCAUGAAUAUAUGUGAGUUCUUGAUCCUAUCUUGCAAGUCUAUAGUCACCUACUAUGUGUUAUGAUCCGGCAACCCCGAAGUGACAAUAAUCGGGACCACUCCCGGUGAUGACCAUAGUUUGAGGAGUUCAUGUAUUCCCUAUGUGUUAAUGCUUUGGUCUGGUACUCUAUUAAAAGGAGGCCUUAAUAUCCCUUAGUUUCCAUUAGGACCCCGCUGCCACGGGAGGGUAGGACAAAAGAUGUCAUGCAAGUUCUUUUCCAUAAGCGCGUAUGACUAUAUUCGGAAUACAUGCCUACAUUACAUUGAUGAAUUGGAGCUAGUUCUGUGUCACCCUAUGUUAUGAUUGUUACAUGAUGAACCGCAUCCGGCAUAAUUUUCCAUCACGGAUCCAAUGCCUACGAGCUUUUCAUAUAUUGUUCUUCGCUUAUUUACUUUUCCGUUGCUACUGUUACAAUCACUACAAAACACUAAAAUUAUUACUUUUGCUACUGUUACCUUUGUUACCGUUACCACUACUAUCAUACUACUUUGCUACUAAAUACUUUGUUGCAGAUACUAAGUCAUCCAGGUGUGUUUGAAUUGACAACUCAACUGCUAAUACUUGAGAAUAUUCUUUGGCUCCCCUUGUGUCGAAUCAAUAAAUUUGGGUUAAAUACUCUACCCUCGAAAACUGUUGCGAUCCCAUAUACUUGUGGGUUAUCAAGACUAUUUUCUGGCGCCGUUGCCGGGGAGCACAGCUCUAUUCUUUGAGUCACUUGGGAUUUAUAUCUGCUGGUCACUAUGAAGAACUUGAAAGACGCUAAGACAACAAUUUAUCCCUCAACUACGAGGGGAGGUAAGGAACUGCCAUCUAGCUCUGCAUUUGAUUCACCUUCUGUUUUGAGUAAGCUUGCGACACCUAAACCUGCUUCUGCUAUUCGUUCUGAUAUGUCGCAUGUUAUUGAUGAUGCCACUUCUGCUAUGCAUGAUACUUAUGAUGAAACUACUUCUAUGCUUGAUACUACUGUGCCACUUGGUGAAUUUCUUGAUUAACAACUUGCUAGGGUUAGAGAGAAUGAAAUUAUUGAAACUGAUAACAUUGAUGAAAGUGAUGAUGAAGACUCUCCCCCUAAUAAAUAUGAAUCACCUGUUAUUCCUGAGGGUUAUGUUUUUGAAAAAUAAGCUGCUUUAGCUAUUUUAGCUUGCAAAGAUAGAUACGAGCUCAAGAGGUUAUUAGCUAAAUGGAAGCAGCAAUCUCUUAAUGCUAGAAUGAAACCUGACCCUGCUUUUGCUACUUCACCUAUCUGUGUUACUGAUAAGGAUUAUGAAUUCUCUGUUGAUCCUGAUAUAAUUACUUUGGUUGAAUCUGAUCCUUUUCAUUGCUAUGAAUCUGAAACUGGUGUGGCACAUCUUACUAAAUUAAAUGAUAUAGCCACCCUGUUCACUAAUGAUGAUAAAUCUUGCUAUCUUUAUAUUCUUAAAAUAUUUCCGUUCAUUGGGUGAUGCUAAGAUAUGGUUUAAUUCCCUUGAUCCUGGUUGUGUGCGUAGUCCCCAGGAUAUGAUUUACUACUUCUCUGCUAAAUAUUUCCCUGCUCAUAAGAAACAAGCUGCUUUAAGGGACAUAUAUAAUUUUGUUCAAAUUGAAGAAGAGAGUCGCCCACAAGCUUGGGGGAGGCUUCUCCAAUUAAUUAAUGCUUUGCCUAAUCAUCCUCUUAAGAAAAAUGAAAUACUUGAUAUCUUUUAUAAUGGACUAACCGAUGCUUCCAGAGAUUACCUGGAUAGUUGUGCUGGUUCUGUUUUUCAGGGAAAGAACGCCGGAUGAAGCUGAAAUUCUAUUGAAUAAUAUGUUGACAAAUGAAAAUAAUUGGACACUUCUUGAGCCAAUUCCUGAGCCUAUUCCUAAACCAACUCCGAAGAAGAGAGGUGUUCUAUUUCUCAGUCCUAAAGAUAUGCAAGAGGCAAAGAAAUCUAUGAAAGAAAAGGGUAUUAAGGCUGAAGAUGUUAAGGAUUUACCUCCUAUUGAAGAAAUACAUGGUCUUGAUUUACCGCCUGUUGAAGAAACAUAUGAUCUUAAACCACCACCUAUUGAAGAAACUCAUGGUCUUGAUAACCCAACAUAGGUAGUAAAGGUAAAUUCUCUCUAUAGAUUUGAUGAAGGUGAUAUUCCUCACUAUAAGUCUGCUAGACAAUGCUUAGAAGAGUUUGAUAAUUUUAUUGUCAAACAAGAAAACUUCAAUGCUUAUUUUGGUAGACAAUGGAAAUACAAUUCCGAUACGCUUGAGCACUUGAGUAAUUACAUGGCUAAUGUUAAAGGUGAACUUAAACUCAUUAGUAAACAUGCUUCUAUGGUUACCACUCAAGUAGAACAAGUACUUAAAGCUCAAAAUGAUUUGCUCAUUGAAUUGAAUAGUAAGAAAAAUGAUUAUGCUGUUAGAGUGGCUACUAGAACUGGUAAGAUGACUCAGGAACCUUUGUAUCCUGAAGGCCACCCCAAGAGAAUUGAGCAAGAUUCUCAGAGAAAUAAUAUUGCUGCACCUAGUCCUUCUAAAAAGAAGAAAAAGAAAGAUGAUAGGACUUUGCAUGCUUCUAGUGAACCAAUUGCUGAAACACCUGAGAAUCCAAAUGAUAUAUCUAUUUCUGAUGCUGAAACACAAUCUGGUAAUGAACAUGAACCUAAUGAAAAUGCUAAUGAUGAUGUUCAUGAUGAUGCUCAACCUAGUAAUGAUAAUGAUGUAGAAAUUGAACCUGCUGUUGAUCUUGAUAACCCACAAUCAAAGAAUCAACGUUAUGAUAAGAGAGACUUUGUUGCUAGGAAACAUGGUAAAUAAAGAGAACCUUGGGUUUAGAAACCCAUGCCUUUUCCUCCCAAACCAUCCAAGAAAAAGGAUGAUGAGGAUUUUGAGCGCUUUGCUGAAAUGAUUAGACCUAUCUUUUUGCGUAUGCGAUUAACUGAUAUGCUCAAAAUGAAUCCUUAUGCUAAGUAUAUGAAAGAAAUUGUUACUAAUAAAAGGAAGAUACCGGAAGCUGAAAUUUCCACCAUGCUUGCUAAUUACACUUUUAAGGGUGGAAUACCAAAGAAAUUUGGAGACCCAGGAGUACCCACUAUACCAUGCUCCAUUAAAAGAAACUAUGUUAAAACUGCUUUCUGUGAUCUUGGAGCCGAUGUUAGUGUUAUGCCUCUCUCUUUAUAUUGUAGACUUGAUUUGAAUAAGUUGACACCUACUGAAAUAUCUUUGCAAAUGGCUGAUAAAUCAACUGCUAUACCUGUCGGUAUUUGUGAGGAUGUGCCUGUUGUGGUUGCAAACAUUACUAUUUUAACGGACUUUGUUAUUCUUGAUAUUCCCGAGGACGAUAGUAUGUCUAUUAUUCUUGGAAGACCUUUUUUGAAUACUGCAGGGGCUGUUAUUGAUUGCAACAAAGGCAAUGUCACUUUUCACGUUAAUGGCAAUGAGCAUACGGUACACUUUCCGAGGAAACAACCUCAAGUUCAUAGUAUAAAUUCUAUUGGAAAAAUUCCAUCGAUUAUUUUUGGAGGUUUUGAAUUUCCUCUUCCUACUGUCAAGAAGAAAUAUGAUAUUCUUAUUAUUGGGGAUGUGCAUAUCCCCGUUGAGGUAACAUAGUGUUAUUCGAAAUUUCUCCGGUUCCAUGAUAUUUGGAAUGAGUUUGUUAACAAGACUUGAUCAACCUUGUUAAUGGAUUCCUUUUGAUGAGCAUGAGAUGGAUGAAACUAGAAGGCACAAUCUUCUGUACCCUCUCUCUACUUUCUGUUAUUUAGUUGAAUAAAGUAAAAAAUAGUAUUUUUCUGUCUGUUUUCUGAUUUAUCCGUGCAAUAUAAAAAUACCCUGAAAAUAAAAGUUCUCCAAAUGCCCUGAAAAUGGAAUAUGAUUUUUCUAGAAUAUUUAAGAAUAUCCGGUACUGAGAACACAACAGGAGGGGCAAGCACCUGGCCACGAGGGUGGAGGGCGCGCUCUACCCCCCAGGGCGCGCCCCCUGCCUCGUGGGCCCAUGGUGGCUCCCCUCCACUUAUUCCUGCACCCACACACUCCUUCUUCCUCCCAAAAAAAUCACCAUCCAGCUCAAGCACGAGUUCUAGCUCAUUUUGCUGCAAUUUUUGAUCUCCUUGGUCAAAGCACCUCUCACAAAAUUGCUUGGGGAGAUUGUUCCUUGGUAUGUGACUCCUCCAUUGGUCCAAUUAGUUUUUGUUCUAGUGCUUUAUUCAUUGCAAAUUUGUGCUGCCUAGGUGACCAUGUUCUUGAGCUUGCAUGUCAAAUUUAUAUGGUUCCAAGUAGUUCUAAUGCAUGAUAUAGGCUCUAGGCACUUGUAGGAGUAGUUGCUAUCAAUUUUGUUGAGCUUGGUUCACUUUUAUUUUGAAGUUACUAAAAAAUUCAGAAAUUUUUCAGAGGAAGAAAUAUGCUUAGGAAAAUGUUCCAAGGUGGUUCUUCAAGGAAGCAAGGACCCAGGCUUGCAAUGCGUGAUGCUGACGAUGAGCCACCAAGGGACGCUCCAGUGCGGCCUUGUGAAUGGCCUUCAGAAAAUUUUAUGGAUCGAGCAGGAAUCAAGGAAGAAUUUAACGCAUAUUUGCGUAACGCUGAUCUUGUGAGCUUCGAGGCAGAGAAGUGCCGCCAAUACCACUAUCUCACUAGUUCAUUUGUGAGGAGGUUUGAAUUUUCAUCUUCACAUAAUUCUCCAACUAUCCUGUUUGAUCUCUAUGAAAAAAUUUAUACUAUGGACUUAGAGGAUUUUACCACCGCUUGCAAACUUCCACAAUGGGGUAGUGCUAGUGAACCUCGCAAAUCUGAAUUUAGAAAUUUUCUUGCUAGUAUAACUGUGGGGGAAUCUAGAGAUAUAGCACAAGCUACCAUAGGGAGCAUUCAUUUUCCUGCUAUACAUUAUUUUGCUCUCUUCAUAGGUAGGUGCAUAAAUGGUAAAGAUGAAGCAUGUCACAUGUGUGUCCCUGAUCUCAGUAUUCUUAGGAGUGCUGUGUUAGGAGACAAAACAUAUAACUUGGGAGCCAUUGUUGCACGUAGGUUGCAUCAUAAUAGAUUUAAUGGAGAUUUCUUUGGAGGAAUUUAUGCAACCCGCUUAGCUGAUUUUCUUGGUGUGGACAUUCGUGAGGAUGAUAUUGAGUUGCCUCCUACUUAUUUAGACUAUAAUGCUAUGGUCCACCACCAGUUUAUCGAGAGGAAUGAAUCACCUCUCUGGUAUCGCUUAAUCUUUGACAAAUGUCAUGCUGUCCGUAUUACUCUCCCUUCUCCUGCCUUCCUUGAUUAACAGGAAAAUGGAAGAUAUGUUAUUACCAGAGAGGAGGCAGAUGAGUAAGAGAGGAGGGCGGAGGCAGCUCGCCGCCACGCUGCAGCUCAGGAGGCAAUAACUACCGCAGCUCAGUACGACCCCGUCUACAACUAUGGAUAUCCGCCAGGCCAUCCGUGGCAAUGAACCAACUUAGGCCAAAAGCCUAAGCUUGGGGGAGUACGUAUCUCUCACCGACAUUACAUUUAUGUUCACACACUCAUUACUAGAUGUCGGUGCUCAUACUUUUUCACUGUAAUAUCCAUGCUAGUUUAUUUUCUUUUUCAUGCUUUCUUCUUGUGUGUUUAAUAAACCUUAAGAAAAAAAUUAGUAAUAGCUUUUAGUUAGUUUACUUUUCUUGCUGUAGUAGUAAUAAUUAAAAAGAAAACCCAAAAAGAUUUCUUGUUCUUCUUUUGCUUGUUGGGAGCUUUCCCGUGUAAAUAGUUUUAUUUCUUUUCUUUGGGGGUCGUUAGGAGAAGACCAUAAUUAAAUUUUUGAAGUGGCUCUUAUAUGCAUUAUUGUUGAUUUAACCAAGAGCCCAUAUUGCCUUGUCUUCUCCUGUUUAUUGAAUGCUCGCAGAUUCCAGCUUAGUCCAAUGCACGUGCACUCUUAUUAUUUUUACAUCGUUCGGUCGUGCAAGUGAAAGGCAAUUAUGAGUAUAUAUGAUGGACUAACUGAGAUGAGAGAAGCUGGUAUGAACUCGACCUCUCUUGCUUUUGUAAAUAUGAUUAGUUCAUCGUUCCUGAUUCAGCCUAUUAUGAAUAAACAUGUUUGCAAUGACAAUUAGAGAUCAUAGUUGCUUAUGCCAUGCUUGAUUAGCUAUGAGUUAUAAUGGUUUACCUUGCGUGCCAACAUGUUAUUAAAAUGGUUGUGAUGUGGUAUAGUGGGGUGGUAUCCUCCUUUGAAUGAUUUAAGUGACUCGACUUGGCACAUGUUCACACAUGUAGUUGAAACAAAUCAACAUAGCCUUCACGAUAUUUAUGUUCAUGGUGGAUUAUAUCCUACUCAUGCUUGCACUCAAUGUUUAUUAAUUUUAAUGCAUGUUCAUGACUGUUGUCACUCUCUAGUUGGUCGCUUCCCAGUCUUUUGCUAGCCUUCACUUGUACUAAGCGGGAAUACUGCUUGUGCAUCCAAUCCCUUAAACCCCUAAGUUAUUCCAUAUGAGUCCACUAUACCUUCCUAUAUGCGGUAUCUACUUGCCGUUCCAAGUAAAUUUGUAUGUGCCAAACUCUAACCUUCAAAUAAACAUUCUGUUUUGUAUGCUCGAAUAGCUCAUGUAUCAACUAGGGCUGCCCUUAUCUUCCAUGCUAGGCGGGUUAUUCUCCAGAGGAGUGGACUCCGCUCCUCACUCACGAGAAAAUGGCUGGUCACCGGGAUGCCCAGUCCCAUGCUUUAUGCAAACUAAAUCAAAAUAAUUGCAAGCAAAACUCCCCCUGGGACUGUUGCUUGUUGGAGGCACUCGUUGUUUCAAGCAAGCCAUGUAUUGAUGCUUGUUGGUGGAGGGGGAGUAUAAACUUUACCAUUCUGUUUGGGAACCGCCUAUAAUGUGUGUAGCACGGAAGAUAUCGCCAUCUCUUGGUUGUUAUGUUGACAAUGAAAGUAUGCCGCUCAAAAUAUUAUUUAUCUCUAUUUCAAAACCGAGCUCUGGCACCUCUACAAAUGCCCGCUUCCCUCUGCGAAGGGCCCAUCUAUUUACUUUUAUGUUGAGUCAUCACCCUCUUAUUAAAAAGCACUAGCUGGAGAGCGCUGCUGUCAUUUGCAUCCAUUACUAUUAAUUUAUAUUGGGUAUGACUAUGACUGGAUCUCUUUUACCAUGAAUUACAAUGUCUAGUCAGUCCUUGAUCUUUAAACAUGCUCUGCAUUUAUGUUUUGCGGUCUCAGAAAGGGCUAGUGAGAUACCAUCCUAUUAUAUCAUAUUAUGAUUGUUUUGAGAAAGUUUUGUCAUCCGAGAUUUAUUAUUAUCGCUCGCUAGUUGAUUAUGCCAUUGAUAUGAGUAAACAUGAGACCUGAGAGUUAUUGCAAAUGUGGUUAGUCAUUAUAUUUGUUGAAAACUUGAAUGUUGGCUUUACAUAUUUACAACAACAAGAGCAAACAGAGUUUGUAAAAGUUUUUCUUUAUCACUUUCAGUUUAUCAACUGAAUUGCUUGAUGACAAGCAAAGGUUUAAGCUUGGGGGAGUUGAUACGUCUCCUUCGUAUCUACUUUUCCAAACACUUUUGCCCUUGUUUUGGACUCUAACUUGCAUGAUUUGAAUGGAACUAACCCGGAAUGAUGCUGUUUUCAGCAGACUUUCCAUGGUGCUAUUUAUGUGCAGAAACAAAAGUUCUCGGAAUGACCUAAAACUCCACGGAACAUCUAUUUGGAAAAUAAGAAAAAUACCGGAAGAAAAAUCCACGUCAGGGGGCCCACACCCUGUCCACGAGGGUGGAGGGCGCGCCUGCCCCCCUACCUCGUGGGCCCCCUGACGCUCCACCGACCUCAACUCCAACUCCAUAUAUUCACUUUCGGGGAGAAAAAAAUCAAAGAGAAGGAUUCAUAGCGUUUUACGAUACGGAGCCGCCGCCAAGCCCUAAAACCUCUCGGGAGGGCUGAUCUGGAGUCCGUUCGGGGCUCCGGAGAGGGGAAUCCGUCGCCAUCGCCAUCAUCAACCAUCCUCCAUCACCAAUUUCAUGACGCUCACCGCCGUGCGUGAGUAAUUCCAUCGUAGGCUUGCUGGACGGUGAUUGGUUGGAUGAGAUCUAUCAUGUAAUCGAGUUAGUUUUCUUAGGGUUUGAUCCCUAGUAUCCACUAUGUUCUGAGAUUGAUGUUGCUAUGACUUUGCUAUGCUUAAUGCUUGUCACUAGGGCCCGAGUGCCAUGAUUUCAGAUCUGAACCUAUUAUGUUUUCAUGAAAAUAUGUGAGUUCUUGAUCCUAUCUUGCAAGUCUAUAGUCACCUACUAUGUGUUAUGAUCCGGCAACCCCGAAGUGACAAUAAUCGGGACCACUCCCGGUGAUGACCAUAGUUUGAGGAGUUCAUGUAUUCACUAUGUGUUAAUGCUUUGGUCCGGUACUCUAUUAAAAGGAGGCUUAAUAUCCCUUAGUUUCCAUUAGGACCCCGCCGCCACGGGAGGGUAGGACAAAAGAUGUCAUGCAAGUUCUUUUCCAUAAGCACGUAUGACUAUAUUCGGAAUACAUGCCUACAUUACAUUGAUGAAUUGGAGCUAGUUCUGUGUCACCCUAUGUUAUGAUUGUUACAUGAUGAACCGCAUCUGGCAUAAUUUUCCAUCACUGAUCCAAUGCCUACGAGCUUUUCAUAUAUUGUUCUUCGCUUAUUUACUUUUCCGUUGCUACUGUUACAAUCACUACAAAACACUAAAAAUAUUACUUUUGCUACUGUUACCUUUGUUACCGUUACCACUACUAUCAUACUACUUUGCUACUAAAUACUUUGCUGCAGAUACUAAGUCAUCCAGGUGUGGUUGAAUUGACAACUCAACUGCUAAUACUUGAGAAUAUUCUUUGGCUCCCCUUGUGUCGAAUCAAUAAAUUUGGGUUGAAUACUCUACCCUCGAAAACUGUUGCGAUCCCCUAUACUUGUGGGUUAUCAGCCGGCUUCUCGCCUCACCGACCGGCUGCCGAGUAGCUGGUCGGCCAGCUUCUACUUAAUUUGCCAGAAAACUCUAGCCGGCUAAGUACUUUCCUUCCCGAAAGUGCCUAAGUACUUGACCCAGCCACAGUCCGAAGAGCAGCUGUUCGGCUGGCAAGACGGCAACCAAGGGAAGGCGGCAAAGGAAAAAAGCCAAAGAGCAAAAAGCAAGGAAAGAUAGAACUCGGCUAAAAAAUUUUUUACGUCAAAAGGCCCUUGGCCGACAUCCAACAAGAGUUUGAAAUACACCCCGCAGGUGGAAUAGUGUGAAGUUAACAAAGUUUGUCGAGACUGAUAGACAGGUAAAAACAAAGAUAAACUGGCGGCCUGGGGAGCAGCAGACGGCUUCGGGGGAGCGGAGGAGUCGGUGGUGCCGGUUGGUGGAGCGGCCGGCAGGUCAGUCGCCGCUUGGUCGCCUUCAGUAGCAGCCGGCUCGCUCGGGCGUGGCUCGUUGCUGGAGGCGCGGUCGAGCUGAGGCUGGUCGUCCGCUCCGACCUCUGGCGCCUCCUCUUCACCUUCCUCUUCCUCCUCGUUUUCUUCCUCGCCGCAGGAGUCGAUCACCUCGGCCGAGUCCUCGCCGUCCUCCAGGUUCAGCCCGAACCACUCUGGUGGCGCCUCGGCGCCAUUCUCGGCCCGCUCCGGGAUGAAGAUGCUGGUGUUGGUGUACUCGGCGAUUGCCGCCGCACGCUUGACAAGGUCAUCCUCUACUGCCACCAGCUCCUCCUGGGCCUCCUGCCGAAACAUGGUCAACUGGGCUAGAUUUAGCCCAGGGUACCACGCCUUGACAAACUCCAAGGCCCGGCGCGCUCCAGCUCGGGACGAGGAGCCCUUCCAGGCCUCAAGACGGCCCACCGCCACCUCCAGCCAGUCGGCAGUCCGACUGGGAGUGCGCGGUGCCGGCAUGUCCAGCCACAGGGCGGCGAUCGCCUGGGCGCCGACCAGCUGAAGACGGCGCAGCAUCCGGUGAGCCGGCCGAAGACGGGCCUCGAUGCUCAGGAGCUGCUUGCUAAGGGUCCGGGGGGCGUUGGCAGCAAUCUGCGCACCUUUCGCCCUCCGUCCUUCGCGAUCAGCUUCGAUGGCCUGAUUGGCGGCGUCAGAAUGACCAGGGAAGAAGUCUGCCAAAACAGAAAGCAAAGAGCCAAAGUUAGAGACGAGAGGCCGGCUCGAUCAGUAGCCGGCAGCUCAAAGAAGGAAAAAGAGGGAAGCUCACCAUCAACUAUGUCUUCAACCUCGCCAAAGCUGGUAGUCAGCAUCGCCUCCUUGUCAGUCCAGGCGGAGCGUUCAGUCGCAAACUCAGCAAGGAGGCUGGUCUCCUUGUCCUCCGCCUCCUUCUGGGCCUUCUUGAGAAGCUCCGCCUUUUCCGCCAGUUGCGUGACCAGCAGGUCACGCUCUUCGACCAGCUUGUUACAUUCUGCUUCUUUGGCACGCAGCACGGUGUUGGCUUCACCCAGCUGCUGCUAAAGGGUGGCGUUGGCCUCUGCGAGAGCAGAAAAAGCAAAAGGCGUCAGUAACCAGCAGAGAAGAAGCACAGUUGCCAGGGAGAUCCGGCCCGACUGCUCAGCAGUCGUCCCGAAUCUCGGGGACUACAGCCCGCGGGUGCGCCAGCGCGCCCCCGCGGAGAAAGAAGUCGUCAAUAUCAACCCAAAGAAGAUCAGUCGCCAGGAAGAUCCGGCUCGACUGCUCAGCAGUCGGCCCGAAUCUCGGGGACUACAGCCCGCGGGUGCGCCAGCGCGCCCCCGUAGAGAAAUAAAAAGACUUACUCCGACUCUCCGACAAGUCGACGGCACGUUGAUCUAGCUCCUGGACUUUGGAGUUGAAGGCGGCCGCACGGAGGUUAUGAUAAUCCUGCAGCAAAGACAUUAGCACUCGGAGCUUGCCAAUUAAAGUUUCGAGCCGCCUGCUCAGCAGCCGGCCCGAAACUCGGGGACUACACCUAGUGCGUGCGCUGGCGCGCCCCCACGAAGCAAUACAAGAAUUAAAAACGAAGAAGCAAGAAGCAUACCCUAACGGCCUCUCGCGAUUCCAGGAACGUCUUGUUGCAGUGCUUGAGAGUGUCGGCUUCGGCACGGAGUUUGGCUUGAACGUCCAGGAUCGCCUUGUUCAAAGGGCCCGUCCCGCCUCCCCGCACCCACCCAGUGGGCGUGGCGCUGGUCGCUUCGGUGUCCGGGAUUGAGGAGCUUGCGGCGCCGGUCUCCAAUGGGCGUGGCGCCGAGGCCGCCUUGGCGAGCCGGCGGCAUAAGGGUGUGCGGACCCCGGGAGUCGGGCCCGUCACCAUCUCGUUUCCGGCUGGUGGCGCCGGCGGGUUGGCCGGCUGCUUGUCUCGCGCCUCCUUAGAAGGUGGUGGCGGGGGCACGAUUACGUCCGGCAUGGCGAUGUCGCCGCUGUCCCUCUCCAUGAUAGGGUGCUCGCUGCCGGCUUCCCCAGUCUGCGCCACGAACUCCGGUGGUGGCGGCGCGGAGUUCAGGGGGGUGACAAACAUCGGCGACUGAUGGUGUGCGGCUUCCUCGGCCUGCUUCUUCGUCGCGGCGGCGGCCUCGGCCUCCGCCAGCUUCUUCAAAGUGGCGGCCUCUGCCCUGUCUGCCUCCGCCUUCUCUAGGCGGGCGGCUUCCUGCUCCUCGCGCGCGUUCUGCUCCGUCGCCUCCCGGAGGUCAGCGGCCGGAUCGAUCCGCCGAGUGGUGGUGGAAGUCUCCGCCGACCCCACGAUGGAGGCAGCGGCUGACUUCUCAAGAGAGAGCGGGGCCCUAGAUCAAGGGAAACAAAGCGAAGAAACUCAGACAAGAUCAGCAAGGAAGGAGAAAGUACGAGAUGAAGGCAGUACUUACGCGGAAACCAGCUGCGGCUCCUUCACCGCCUUGCAAAAGUGGAUGGACUUCGCGGCCGCUUCAUCCCGCUUAGUCGCUGCGGCCGAGCCCCUGGGUUUCUUUGGCCGGCUGCCGAACAGGCUCGGCGCGGCCCUGCGCUUGUGCGCACCACCUCGGGCUGCCAACAUGGCAGACGAGCUCGCGCCAUGCUGGUCGGACCCCGGCUGGCGGUGCAGGACGACUUCCCCCGCGUCGUCGUCUGGCCAGUCCUCGAGGCUGGCUCCAAGCCCUGAGCCGCCUGCUGCGCCGCCCCCUCCCUCGGCGUCGUCCUCCAAGGCCGCCGCUCCCAAGUCGGGGUCAUCCACAUCACUCUCCGCCCGGUCGGGGAGAAAUUGACGCUCCGGCCCCGCGGCGCCGGCUGCCGGCUGGAGGAGGGAGCUCUGCUUGAAGAGCCGGUUGGUCAGGUUAGACAAAUGGAACUCGGCAAAAAGAAAGAGAAAGAGAAGGAAAGGAAAUUUACCAUAGGCAGGGGGUCGGCGCGAGAAUAAGGCUCCUUGCCGAACCGCCACUCUUCCGUGAGCUUGCAGUUCACAAGGUAGUUCACCAUAUGAGCUACCUCUGCGUGAGGCAUCUCCUUGGUGCACAACCGGCUUGGGUCCCGAUGCCCGCUCAUCUGACAGAUCAUGUGAGGGCGGCCCUGGAGCGGGAGCACCCGGCGCGCCACGAAGGCAGAUAGCAAGUCCGGCCCGGUCAGGCCCUCCGACUGUACCAACACCCGGAGCCGCGCAAUGGCGGCGGCUCCAGAAGGCGAUAGUGUCUUGGCCCGGUACGACCAGUUGGGCCGCCUCCCGGCCGGCAGCAUAAGCCGGCAGGUUGACCCAGUCACCCUCUGCGAAGAUGCUCUUCACGUACAAGUACGACUGCUGCCACAUCUUCACCGACUGGAUCAGUGUGAUGGGAGGAAAUGGAUUGUUGCCUGCCGGCCUCCGCACCGCGAUGAAGGCGCCGCAUUGAGCCGGCACGCCCGCGACGACGGUGCCGAGCUUGGUGUAGCAAAGCUCCCACCAAAGCUCGAUGGUGGGGAGGACGCUGAGGAAGCCUUCGCACAGAGUGACAAAGGCGGACAGCAGCACCACUGCGUUCGGGGUGAGGUGGUGCGGCUGGAGAUUGUAGAAUUCAAGGAAGGCCCGGAAGAAGCCACUUGCCGACAGGCCGAGGCCGCAUGGGCAGUGCGAGCGGAAGACGACCCGCUCGCCCUCCUCCGGCGCCGGCGAGAUCUCCCCCUCCAGCGCGAGGCGAACCCUCACGUAGUCCUUGCUGGGCAGCCGCCGCGUCUGGCGGAGGAAGUCGAUGUGGUCUUCGUGGACUGUGGAGCCGUCCCAGGCUCCGGAGCCCGCCAUGGGGGCGAGAGGUUGACGGACGGACUCGACGGAGACGAACCGCGGCGGCGCUUCGGCGGGGCCCGGGGCGCUGCGGCGAGAGGAAGAAGAAGAAGGGAGACUGGGGUGGAGGGGCGCGCGUGCUUCGCCGCUCCCUCUCUUCUCCCUACUUAUAGCCUACGGGCUACGAAGCAAAGGGGGUGGGUGUGGGAUCGUGGGAUUAACUAUGCCCACGACCCCACGUUUCCACCUUUACCGCGCGGGUUACUGCGCGCAGUAACUCCGCGGGGAAACCCAACCGCCCGCCUCGGCCGCAGUGGAUCCGCUCGCAGGCCGAGGCCCGGUGGUGGCGGGCCCGGCCUGCGGUCGCGUCCCGUCACGCGCGUGGCCUGGCAGGCCGACCCAGCUGGCUGGCGCCAUGUGGCACACCCACGACGGGCGGCAGGCCGAGAAGCUUAGCAAGCACGCCACCUGGUUCCCGCCGAUGCAUUCGAAAUUCCAGAAGGAUCCGACUAGACAUACCCGACUUCUGCCGACCGGCUCCCCAGAAGUCGGAUGGAGCUUCCUUCGGAGCACCCGGAGGAGGAAACUGUUGAGGCUCCCCGGCUCCUCAACCGUGGCCCCUCACCAGCUUCGGGGACUACUGUCGGAGUAAUGGGCCACGGGUAGCCUAACCUGAGCCCCCGAACCUUUCAAGACAUCGGGGCCGGCUGCACCCCUCAAGACGUCAAGAUAGAUCUCUGCCUUCUGACGGUCGGUUGGCUGAACGGCCGACUGUCAGAAGGUGGCUGAGUUCCAGAAGACGGCAUCACAACAGGCCGACUCCUAGUGGGCGCCCUCCAGAGAGGCCGGCCCCUAGCAGUCGGCACGUGGCGCCCUCAAAGUUUGCGCCCUCAUCAAGGAGACAAGACAGGGUGUGACUAUAGCGUAGCCCAUCCCCCCGAAUCCAGGGCCGGGCGUGGCCACAGUGCCCCGUACAGGCGGAGAUCUCCGCACGGCGUGGCACUGUUGCAUCUCCCCCUAAACGUCACUCCUAAUAGGCGGAGCCCUGUUCCCACGACGGCCUGUCGGUAUGGCUUGCAGACGGCAGGCCCUACCAGGCAGUGAGAGCCCUGAAGACGGAGGAAGCUAGGGCAGCCGGACCAGAGGGAAGCCGGCUUCCAGCAAGCGGCUUAUCCCUCCCUCGGGCCCCGUGCGGCAUCAACCAGAUGAGACGCAGUGUGGCUACAGUAAUCGCCCGCCAGGCUGCGGGACUGUAGCCACACUCCCCCGACCAAGCCUGCGUCAUUAGCAUCAUGGCUACAGUGAUCAGCAGCCGGCAAGACCCGCGAGCGGAGGGAGCGGCCUGUCGGCUUGGAACCAGACCAGUCGGCGGGGCCCACCGGGCGGCGGGCCCCAGCAGCCGGCGGAGAAGCCGGCGACCAGAGAGACUGACAGCCGGGUCCUACACCCAGCUGGAUUACAAUUAUACCCCUAGGGGGUAGGCCUAUAUAAACCCCCCAGGGCACCCGUGCAAAGGGUUCGAACCUGUUAGAACUAGACUCACACCUAGAGGAGGAGAGAGCGUGCCUGCCUUCUUUCACCUCUAGCAAACAGCUCAAGGAGCACCAUUGUUCCACUAGUGCCUUAGUGAUCAUGCGGAGACCCCGCAGAGCAGGACUAGGGGUGUUAUCUCCACGGAGAGCCCCGAACCUGGGUAAAGUUCGCCGGCGUACAUGUCUACGCCUCAUCCCGCUUCCAGGCACCGGCAACGUUCUACUCGCUCCCACCAUGAUAAGCCAUCCUUUGGCAUAUGUCGCACCCAACCCCCGACAAUAAUAUCAUCCAACAAGCAUUAAGGGUAGCAUAUGGUCAAACACAAGAUCAAACAAGUAUCUCACAAGUAGCUCACACAAACACACAAUAAAGUUUCAAACCAAACCAAAUUAGUGCAAAGAGAGAUAAAAACCAAUACUCUCUCUCUCUCUCGAAGUCUAUGAUCUAUACAUUUUUCUCCCCCUUUGACAACACGUUACCAAAAAGUUUGAAAAUGCAUAGUGCUAAACGACUCUCAGGCUUGAUCUUCGGGAGGUGGUGUUGAGAGAACUCCAAGGACGAAGGCUUCUGAUAAAGUAGCUGGAGCUGGUGGAGUAGCUGCUGGAGGUGGAACUGGAGCUGUAGCUGCUGGUGCUGAUGUUGUGGCUCUAGUGUCUGUCACUGGCACUGCAGCAGAUCGCUGUCCUCUGGGCACUCUGGCAAAAGCAUCUGUGGUAGACUUGCCCUUCUCUCCUCUGCUUCCUCCUGAAGUUGCUCAACUGCAGUUUGGAUUUUUGUCACCUUGACAUCAAGGUCAUAGAAUUUCUGCUCAAUGAUCCUCUCCAGACUCUCCUGGUUCUUGGUCAGGGUGGCCAAGCCCUUCUCAAUCCUCAGGGUGGAUUGGAUCAGAUAUCCAAGCUGGUCUUGCUUGCUCUUCAAGAAUACCUGAGAUGCCUCCUCAGCUGUUGGCAUCUUUGCAGCCUUCUCUGCCUUAGCCUUCUCUCUCUUUUCAUGUGCUUGAGCUGAAGAUGGUUCAUUCUCAUUCAUCACAACAGUGUUAUCUUCAAAUUCAGGAUAGAUGGGCAGGUGCUCCUUAUCCAAGAUGUACUUGCCUUUGCCCAUCUUUGAGUUGAUUAGCUCCUGAAUGUGUGGGGCAUGCCCAUAACUUUUCUUCUGAUCAGCUGCAGUCCUCUUGAUUGUUUCAACAAUCAGGCUCAUGACUUUGAACUUAUGUGGGACAUCAAAUAUGUGCAGCAAGUUUAUAGCAUGUCCUAUGAUCAUCUUGUGAUCACCUGACUUGGGUAGCAGUGUGUGCCUUAAGAUCCAGUUGAUUGUUGGCAGACCAGACAACAGGUAGUGAACUGAUCCAAACUUAUGUGUAUCCAAAGCAGCAUUUGGGAUCUCCUUGUACAUGUUAGCCAUACUGUUGUGGUCUUUCUUCUUCUCUGCAUAAAUGUCCAAGUCAUCCUCAUGUUCCUCAGGAGCAUUUAUAAGCUUGGCCCAUUCAUCAACUGUAGAUUGGUACCUAGUACCCUCAGACAUCCAUAUAAUCCUUCCAUCUGGAUAGAAGUCGGCAGUGGAGUAAAACUGCAUGAUGAGCUCAUCAUUCCACUUGGUGAGCUUCUGGGCAACAAAAGUAUCCACUCCACAUGCCUUAAAGCUAUCAAGCACUCCAGGGAAGUGAUCCUCAUUUUCCUUGAUGAAUUCCCAGUCAACCCAUCUCAUAUCACACACAAUGGGCUUCUUGUCAAGCAAAACUGUCUCAUAGAAGUCCUGUUGUUCCUUAGUGUGAAACAUGUAGUCCACAACAGUCCUUCUCCUGAUAGCAUAUGGAUCAGACGCCUCCAUAGUCUCAAUCCUGCAUCCUUCCUGAUCUUCAUGUUCUCUGCAACUGGGUGUGCAUCAGUGUGGUCAGGGAUCUUGCGCUUCAGCUUCCUCAACACAACAGAAUCAUCUUCUUCUUCUUCAGCAGCUUGAGGCACUGGGGCCUUGUUGUUUUCUUCAGCAGGGAUAUUCCUAGUGCUUCUCUUUGGUUUUGGCUUUGGAGCUGGAGCGGCAGCUUUGGGAGCAGCUUUGGGCUUACAUGGAGCAGCCCCUGAUUUGAUAGCAUCUCCCAUAAGCUUCUGAGCUUUAGGUGCUGGUGCAGCAUGCUCUUCCUCUUCCUCUUCUUCUGAAGGUUCUUGCAUCAUGGAGGGCUUUCCAAUGACUCUGGCCAGUGUUUUCUUAACCCUCGCCUUCCUGUUCUUCCCUUUUUCAGCUUCUUCAGCAGCUGAUUUUGAAGCUUCAGCAGUUGAUGUUCUGACUUUUGACAUGGGUUGUCUUCUUGCUCGCAUCUUUGUUUUCAUACCAGGCUUUGUUGCAGUUGUGCCAUACUCUUUCUUUAGCACCUUCUUCUUUGAAGUGGCUUCAUCUUCAACUGCCACAUAAUCUUCAUCUUCAGAGUCAGAAUUCCUCUUCUUCCUUGUCCUGGUGGCAGCCUUUGGCAGAUUGCUGGGAGUGCUCCUGCUGCCUUCAUCAUAGCUGCUAGAGGGAUCUGAACCCUCACUCAUCUGCACCUGUUGCUCAGACCUGUUCUGACUAUCACUCUGGUCAGACAUCUCUGCAAAUACUCUAACAGCAGACCCUGUGAAUAGGUUAUAGAUGAGGUAGAGUAGAUGAGCAUCACAAAGUACAGGAGUUUUGCAAAAAGGAUGACUUAAAAACUUAGUUUUAGUUCUUCACAGAAAGCAUUUCGGAUCUACCGAUUUGUAAACUCGGUGAUACCGAAGCAGCUUUUGGAACCUAAACUAGUGAACUCGGUCAGACCGAGUCACAGUUCGGUGGUACCAAGACUGCUAGGGUUUCACAAAGAGUCAAACUCGGUCACACCGAUUUGCAAUUUUUGGUCAGACCAAAAACGCGUGUGCUCUGGCCUAAGCCAAAAUCGGUGAGACCGAUUUCUACAACUCGGUCGGUCCAAGAUGAAUUCAGCAGAGACCUAACCCUAAAUUUUUAAAGCAAAACUAAUCUACGGGAUGUUUUCGCUGGACAGGAUGAUUUCAAUCGUGGCAAGAAUCAUGGCAAAGCAAUGUGCUAAGAAUCGGAGUUAAGGAUUAGCACAAAGAUCAAGUUCGUACCCUAGUUCGGCGACGAACUUGCAACGGCGGCAACGGCGGUGAAGAUUUCCGUUGACGGCGGUGGAGACCAGCAGCGGGAGGUCGCUGGCGACGAGAGGACGAUCCGGAGACCCGAAGAGGCAGAGCAGGUUAUGCGCGGGCGAGAAGGUUUAGAAAAAUUCCAAAAUUUGGCCCGUCGGUAUAUAUAACCUGACCAUGUCGGUGUGACCGAGAGGAACGACUCGGUGGCACCGAGAUGCAAAACUGCAGGCAGUUACUGCAACUCGGUGUGACUGAAAGGUUCUAAUCGGUUGCACCGAGAUUGAAAACCCUAGAUCAACUUAGUGACUCGGUAGGACCGAAAAGGAUGAAUCGGUCAGACCGAGAUGCACAAAGAGGUUUUGGAGGUUUAAGUCUAUGGCGAAUCGGGAACUCCGAGUGCUCCUCACACAGAGUGGUUCGAUUCUGACUUGAUCAAACUUUGUGAUGUAGCAUGAAUAGAGUUUGAGAUGAGAAAAGCAUAGAUAGCUAGAGGGAGUUCUUAGGGAUUCUUGUCCAUCCAUUUGGCAAAAGAGAAAGAGCCAAACAAUCAAAACUACAAAUGGGUGUCCUCGAAUGAGUAAAGUAUGCAACCAACAUGCUCACACAAUAAAAUGGCAAAUGAAAUAUGUGACAAAGCAUGCACAAACACUUUAGCAUCUAUCAAGCAAUUUGGCGAUGACUAGGUCAUCAAUAUAUGAGUAUAUUGACAUAGGAGUCAAAUGAGAACAUUUGAUCAUAGGUCAUACUCAUCAUUUAAGCACAAGUGGGGUUACCACUUUUACAUAAAGCAUUGAUGUGUUCACACCAUUUGAGUUGCUUUAACUCAAUUGAUUAGAGUAAAGCUCCCCCUAGAUGUGAUAUCCCCCCUUAGAGGGAUAAACUAACCUUGGGUUUUUUCGAUGAUGACUUCAUGUAGGUGUUGAAGAUGUAGAUGCUCAAUGUUGAUGUAGAUCAUUUGGAGCAAUCCUUUGGAGUGAGUUGCACUUUCAAUACCUACACGGGUUAGUCCCACAAGGAACAAACAAGGAUAUCCAUAGACAUAGAGUGAUGCAUACACAAGAUGAUGUCCAUGAAAGCAUUGGAUUACCUUGUCCCUUGUCUUACCAACAAGAGGGUUUGUGACUCCUUGAACUAGUGCAAGAUAUGGAAGUUGUUUGCACUUGUUCUCGCCAAAAUGAUAAGAGUGAAGUAUGUUGGCGGAGUCACCCUCAAGAACUCUCUAGUUCUUCUUCUUCUGGAUCCACACCAUGUUGACGGGAAUCCUCAGAGUUGUAGUUGUACUUGAUAGUGUAGAACUUGAUGUAGUCUUGGGAACCCACUUGACCAAGGCCUUAGGUGCUUCUUCAAAUGCAUCAAUUUCCUCUUGAAGCUUGUCCUUGCCUUGUUGCUUGUGGUCUUGUGGUGGAAGAUCAUCUUGAGCUUGUGUCCCUUUAAAAGAAGUAGGAUCAUACUUCUCUUGUUAAGAACAAACUUCGUCUUGGGGUAUUGAUCUUCUUCCCACUCAACUCCAUUGGCAUUGAACUUUUGUUCAAAACCAACACCUUGAUUCUUCCGGUGUCUUCCUUGCUUGCGUACAAUUUCCUCAAAUUGCUUACUUCCGGCAAGACUCUUGUAAACACCUUUCUCUAUAAUUCCCUUCAAUAAGCUAUUUUCUUGCUCAAGUGUAACUUGGCUAAGAGAAUCAUUAGUGGAAUCAAGAGAACUACUAGAAGUAACAACAUUGGAUUUAGCAUGAUUGUUGUUACUACUAGAUGAAACAUCUUUCUUGUUCUUGUUGCUAGAUUUAACUUGUGGCAUGUAAGUAGACAAGAGUAAACGCUUGGCAAUGUAAGAAGAACUUUUCUUACAAAGAUCAUCAUUGAUUGCCUUUAAAAACUCAUGCUCUUGCUCAAGGUUGAGCUUUUCAAAGCGUAGCUUAUCAUGAGUCUUUAAAAGUUCUCGAUGAUUUUCCAAGGUAGUUUCAUGAGCUAACUUAAGAGUGUUUAGUUCUUUAGUUAGACGCUCAAUCUCCUUCUUAUCAUCAUCAUUCGUUUUAUCUUGAUUAGCAUGAUUAAUUGACGUUUCAUCAUAGUUUUCAUCACUAGAGUUGUCAACAAGUAAAUCAUCAUCACGUAGCAAAUCAUCUUCAUCACUAUUGAAAUCAACAUACUUGGGAUGUGUUACCUUUGGACCUUUGGCCAUGAAGCAUCUUCCAAUUACUUCAUUUGGUGAGUCAAAUAUGUCGUAGGAGUUGGUUGACACAAGUGCUAGACCGGAAACACCUUCAUCUUGAGUAUAUUCGGAGUCGGAGUGAUAACUUCUUUCGGAGUGAUUGUCGGAGUCGGAGCCGGAUACCCAUUCACCAACAUGAGCUUGGUGUCUUCUUUUUGUGUAGCUCCUUGAUGACUUGUCCUUCCUUUCCGAGUCCUUGCUUCUCCGAGAGGGUCUUCGUUCAUAACGAUCAUCUCUACUCCUCCUUUCUCUUGGUGGUGAUUCUUCUCUUCUUUUGUAGGGAGCCGUACACUCAUUGGAGUAGUGUCCGGGUCUUCCACAAUUGUAGCAAUUUCGCUCACGACUAGAAGAUCUUUUGUCAUUGUGGGACCUUGACUUGGAACUUCUUUCUUUGCUUCUACUCUUGUAGAACUUGUUGAAGUUCUUUACCAUUAGGCUCAAUUCUUCAUUGAAGAUUUGUUCUCACUUGAUGAUGUGGGAGCAUCACACGAGGCUUUGUAAGCACCACUAGACUUGUUGUGAAGCUCUUCCUUAUCCUUGAGUGACAUCUCAUGAGCAACAAUUCUUCCAAUGACUUCCGUUGGCUUGAGAUCUUUGUAAUUGGGCAUCAUUUGGAUCAAUGUGCACACGGUAUCAUAUUUUCCAUCCAAGGCUCUUAGGAUCUUCUUGAUGAUGAAUUUGUCGGUCAUCUCUUCACUUCCCAAGCCGGCAAUCUCAUUUGUGAUGAGAGCAAGCCUAGAGUACAUUUUGGCGACACCUUCACCAUCCUUCAUUUUGAACUUGUCAAGUUGACUUUGAAGCACAUCCAAUUUGGAUUCCUUGACGGAAUCGGUACCUUCGUGCAUAUCAAUCAAAGUAUCCCAAAUUUCCUUUGCAUUCUCAAGACGGCUGAUUUUGUUGAAUUCUUCAGGGCACAAUCCAUUGAAGAGAAUAUCACAAGCUUGAGCAUUGUAUUGUAGCAUCUUCAACUCUUCCGUGGUAGCUUCACGGUUUUCUCUCCCAUCAAGGAAUUCACCUUGCAAGCCAAUACACACAAUAGCCCAAACGGCGGGGUUAUGUCCAGGAAUAUGCAUUUUCAUCUUAUGCUUCCAACUAGCAAAACUUGUACCAUCAAAGUAAGGACCUCUAUGGUGGUAAUUUCCCUCGCUAGACGCCAUACUCUCCUAGGUUGUGAAACCAAGGCUAUAACCACCAAAAGCUAUGGAAAUCAAAGCAAAUGGAGACCAAAGCUCUGAUACCACUUGUAGGAUCGAAAGUAUGUCUAGAGGGGGGUGAUUAGACUACUUGACCAAAUAAAAAUCUAGCCUUUUCCCAAUUUUAGUUCUUGGUAGAUUUUAACAACUUAGCACAAGUCAAGCAAUCAACCUACACAUGCAAUUCUAAUAGUAUAGCAGCGGAAUGUAAAACAAUUGCAUAUGAAGGUAAAGGGAGGAGUUUGAGGGAGCAAACGCAAUGUUGACACGGAGAUUUUUUAUCCGUGGUUCCGAUAGGUGGUGCUAUCGUACAUCCACGAUGAUGGAGACUUCAACCCACGAAGGGUAACGGUUGCGUGAGUCCACAGAGGGCUCCACCCACGAAGGGUCCACGAAGAAGCAACCUUGUCUAUCCCACCAUGGUCGUCGCCCACGAAGGACUUGCCUCACUAGGGUAGAUCUUCACGAAGUAGGCGAUCUCCUUGCCCUUACAAACUCCUUGGUUCAACUCCACAAUCGUGUCGGAGGCUCCCAAGUGACACCUAGCCAAUCUUGGAGACACCACUCUCCAAGAAGUAACAAAUGGUGUGUUGAUGAUGAACUCCUUGCUCUUGUGCUUAAAAUGAUAGUCUCCCCAACACUCAACUCUCUCUCAUAGGAUUGGAUUUGGUAGAAAGAAGAUUUGAGUGGAAAGCAACUUGGGGAAGGCUAGAGAUCAAGAUUUAUGUGGUUGGAAUGGAAUAUCUUGACCUCAACACAAGUGUAGGUGGUUCUCUCUCAGAAAAUAUGUAUUGAAAGUGUAGGCAUGUUCUGAUGGCUCUCUCCAUGAAUGAAGAGUGGGUGGAGGGGUAUAUAUAGCCUCCACACAAAAUCUAACCGUUACACAACUCGGUGGGACCAAUUCAGAGAACUCGGUCAGACCGAUUUAGUUCAAAAUGUGAACGUUAGGAUUCUCGGUGGGACCGACAUGUCAACUCGGUGGGACCGAUAUCAUUAGAGUUAGGGCCUAACGUAAUCUCGGUGAGACUGAUUACACAAAGUUGGUGGGACCGAUUUUGGUAAUAGUCAAACAGAGAGUUGGUCAAGCAAACUCGGUGGGGCCGAUUCGAUCAUCUCGGUUGGACCGAAACGUUACGAAAAGGAAACAGAGUGUUUGCAUUGCAAUCUCGGUGGGACCGAUCGCUCAUCUCGGUUUGACCGAAACGUUACGAAGGGAAACAGAGAGAUUACAAUCCCAUCUCGGUGAGACCGAGAUCCCUAUUGGUGAGACCGAAAAGACUAGGGUUUCUGGCAGUGGCUAUGUCAACUGAAAUCGGUGGGGCCGGAUAGAAAGAAUCGGUGGGGCCGAGUUGGAUAUUUGGUGGGGGACAUAUGUGGAUAUGAGAAAGUAGUGGAGGGUUUUGGAGCAUAUCACUAAGCAUUUUGAGCAAGCACCUCAUUAAGCAACACCUCAUCCCUUCUUAAUAGUAUUGGCUUUUCCUAUAGACUCAAUGUGAUCUUGGAUCACUGAAAUAGAAAAUGUAGAGUCUUGUGCUUUGAGCUUGAGCCAAUCUUUUGUCCUUAGCAUUUUGAAGGGUCCACUUUCUAAUCCAUGCCAUGCCAAUCAUUGAGCUUUCCUGAAAUAUCUAUCUUGAAAUAGCAUUAGCUCAAUGAGCUAUAUAUUGUUAGGAAUUACCAAAACUACCCAGGGAUAGUUGCACUUUCACUAAGUUAACUAAAAAAAUUAGUCCCACCUCGCUCCGUGAAGAGAGUUUGUACCACCUUAAAUAUGUUACUUCUCAAACUUUCACAAGCACUUGGUCUUCAUUGAACUCUAUGUGUAGAAUUUGUGGCCGCAAUAUGAGUCUUCACCAGUUCCUAAACUGGUGAGGACUCAUAUUGACAAAUCAGAUUGUACACAAAAAGAUCAUUGAUGAUAAAUGUAUUUUUGAUGUCUAUUUUUACAUGCUGACACAUAGCAGUAGCGUGCUCUUUGUGAAAGGCGCUACUGCUAGGUCGUUUAGCAGCAGAGCCUUCUGCUAUAGCGCGCUACUGCUAAGCCAUUCCAUCUCCCCCCACUCUCCGAUCUAUCCGAUCCACUCACACUCACACUCACUCGAUUUCCCCUCAACCCCCCACGCCGGUCCUCCCCCGUCGCCCCUCCCCCGAUCUGCGCCGCCGCCACCUCCUCCCCCUCGCUGGACUCGAUACCGGCCUCCUCCUCCGUCCUCCCUCUAGUCGCCGCUGGCCGGCCCCUCCUCGCUCCGCCUUCCUCCUCCGUCCUCCCUCCGCUCGCCGCCGGCUGGCCCCUCCUCGCUCCGUCUUCCUCCUCCGUCCUACUCUCUUCUCCCUCCUCGAGUCGCCCCUCCUCCCUCCUCCAUCCACAACCCCUCCUCCCUGCUACAUUUUGAUUUAGUAGGAUAGUUGAUUUAGUAGGCUAGUUGAUUUAGAACAUUUUGAUUUAGUUGAUUUAGUAUGCUAGUUGAUUUAGUUGAUUUAGAACAUUUUGAUUUAGUUGAUUUAGUAGGCUAGUUGAUUUAGUUGAUUUAGAACAUUUUGAUUUAGUUGAUUUAGUAUGCUAGUGGAUUUAGUAGGCUAGUUGAUUUAGUUGAUUUAGUAUGCACCAUUUUAUUGUUACUUUUUCUGUACAUGGAUAGGUAGAUGCUUUUGUUUUUUUGUAAUAAGUUAUUUUUUGGCAAAAUAUAGGUGCCAAUUUAGUUAAAUUUGCCACUUGUGUUUUUAAUCAAUUAUCUUAGGCAAUAGGGGCCAAAUGAGAUGAAAUGUCUUGGUAGGUGGUACCCUUAUUUGGUAGAUAUUUGUGAAAAGUUUUUUCGGCAAUAGGUGCCACCGAAAUGCUUUGUCCAUCAAAUUGCUUCUCGCGGAAGAACCAAAAAUAUCACAUGCUACUGUUUUUCUUUCCUGUGAAGUGAAUCGUUAAUCCUUUGCUCAUAUUGCUUUAGGAAAAUGGCGCCACCACCACUAUGUCGACUGUGCAAGUCAAGGUGCGCCAGCAGCCUUGCAACUGGCAAGCUGUUCGGCAUCUACUUCCAGCCAAGUUUCCGUCAUGCGGCGGUAAGAAAUUAGAUGAAAUGUAACAACUAUUUUAUUUUUAGUGUUGGCAUUACUGCAUUGUGUCAUUUUUCUUUUUUUACACAGAUUGUCCCAUGCAAUGUGAGGUUGAAAUUCAACAAGCUGACAGGAGACACUGUGACAUUUGAGGCUCCUGGGGGGUCGUACACUAUGGAGGUCGAGAAAGGACGCAAUAUGUCGCAGAUUGGAGGAGAUGGAUGGGCCCGUUUCCUUGCCCACAUGCGUCUUACUGGUGGUGAGUUGAUCAGCUUCUCCUUCAGAGCAGAAAGACCCAAGCUGGCUGUCAUUUAUCUCAACCUGGUGUAAGAUGACGAAGAUGAUGAAGAUGACGAAGAUGAUGAAGAUAAUGAGGACCCACUCAAUGAAGAUGAUGAGAACCCACUUCAUGAAGCCAUCGUAGCUCAAAGAAUGAGGCUGAGCGAGGAGGAGGUGUGCAACCUAUGGGACAUAAUUCCGCCACGUGAUGACUUUGUCGGGGUGCCAUUCGUGACCCGCCUGACAAGUACCAUGGUUGAUCGGCAUGAAAUGGUAUGUUAUACGUAUUGCCUGUAUUAAUUUGAUGAUAUAUAUAUGCUUUAUUGUUAUACUUACAAAUGCAAAUUAUUCGAUGAUAUGCUUAGUGAAUCCAAUGAUAUGCUUAGUGUAGAGUCCAAUGAUAUGCUUUGUGAAAUCUAGUCGAUGAUAUGCUUUAGUGUAGAGUCUGAUCACGUGCUCUUAUUAGUGUAGAAUCCAAGGAACUAUUAAUAGUGUAGAUAAUCCAUAUAUACUUAUUAGUAGAAUUCAUGAUUAGUUAUUACAAAUGUAUAGUACUGUGUCUUUUGAUAGUGUAGAAAUCUAGACUUAAUAGAAAUAUAUUUGCAAGAGUAUGUGCGAGGCUAUUUAUUAAUUGAUAUGUUUUUCUUAUUCAGAAAUUGCCAAAGAACCUAUCUGUGAGUUGUGGUAUCGAGCCUGGUGAAGAAGGCUCAGCUGGACUACGCCUUACCGCAAGGGGCUCCGUCACCACCUGUACUUACCGCAUGGACACAGACGGUCGCACACACUUAAACUCGGUUGGGUGGAAGAGAUUCCUCGUUGGCAAGAAUCUUCGUGUUAGACAGGCCAUCCUAGUUACUAUCAGGAACACCCACCGCCCAGGCUUGAGGAUGAUGAUCAUCGUUGAUAUCAUCUAGAAGUACAUAUGAUGAUCGUCGUCAAUAUCAUGUAGAACUACAUAUGAUGAUCGUCGUCGAUAUCAUCUAGAACUACAUAUGAUGAUCGUCAUCGAUAUCACCUUGUACUGCUUGAGGAUGCAUGUUUGAGUAUAUAUGAAAUUGUUAUCUAGUACUCCUUCCGUUCAAAAUUACUCGUCGUGGUUUUAGUUCAAAUUUGAACUAAAACCACGAUGAGUAAUUUGGAACCGAGGGAGUACUACCUAGUACCUAUAAUGCUUUAUGAAAUUGAUAUCUAGUAGUACCUAGUAUUUGGGAAUUGCAGUUUAUUGAAGCUGAAAUGGGGUAGGAAGCCGGGGGAAAUGAUGAAAGAUAUAUCAGUAGCGCGGGGCCAGGAAAUCGCUACAGCUAAUUAAUAGUAGCGUGUUCCGGAAACGUUUUGCUGAUAUAGUCCAUAGUAGUAGCAUGGGUACAGACCGCGCUACUACUAACAGUUAGCUGUAGCGCCUUAUUGGUAGCGCGGCUGCCCGCGCUGCUGAUAGCCUCAAAACCCGCGCUACUACUAGGGUUUUUUCUAGUAGUGGAUGUUUUUAUUGCCACUCUAUUAAUUUAACAAAUGUAUGCUUUAUUGUGUAAAGAUGCUUGUAAUUGUAUAAUUGAGAUUAUAUUGACAAAGUAGGUUUUGUUAAAACUAUUUUUCAUCGGUUGAUAUUUGUUCAAUAACUUAAUGUUUUGGAUUAUAAUAUUGACACUUAAUUUGCCGGCUUAUUUUCAUUAAUAUUUUUAGCCACAUUUUAUCUCUUAUAAUGACAUUAAUCUAAAAUGUUAACUUAAUAUUGAAAAUGAUAAUUAACCUUACUUUUAUCUAAUCUUUCAAACCUCAGAUGUAAUAGUGUUUUUUCUUUGUAAGUUAUAUGUUUAAGUAUAAACAAACAGAAAAUUCUAGAUUAUAUAGGGUGUCUACCCCCCGCAAAAAAAAAUAUAGGGUGUCUAGGAGCAGUGUUUCCUAUUUUUGUUAUGCGUCAAUUCGUCAAGUAAAUAAUUUACAUAAAACACUUUGUAGUAUAUGUUCAACCGUCUAUGGAAGACACGUGUAAAUAAAUGUGAGCCCGGCAUAUUUUUUCAGAUGAUCAGAUCAAAUGGCCAUAUCAAAUACGGGCCAUGGCAUGGAAGGCAGGCAAAUCUUAUAAUGUUUUUGCAUAGAAUCCUCGUAAUUUACAUCAUGGUAGUACAUAUCAGACCGCACGACGACACACCUCACCGCAAGCAAGGCAGAUUACUUCCCGGGAACAAAGUUGGUGGCGAAUGCCCAAGCAUUGUUGUUGACGGGGUCGGCGAGGUGAUCAGCGAGGUUCUCGAGUGGACCCUUGCCGGUGACAAUGGCUUGCACAAAGAAACCAAACAUGGAGUACAUGGCGAGACGACCGUUCUUGAUCUCCUUGACCUUGAGCUCUGCGAAUGCCUCGGGGUCGUCGGCAAGGCCGAGCGGGUCGAAACUGCCGCCCG
rnacentral:lncRNA from 1 species